rnacentral:lncRNA from 1 species
AAGGCACCUCUUGAGUACUGUUGGAUGCAGCUUGCAUUCCAUUCAAACUCUGAGAAAUCAUAUUGACUUGAUGAGUCAAUAUUUUAUUCUGAGCCAAUAUGGCAUUCAGAGUAUCAAUUUUAAGAACUCCCUUCUUUAUAGGCAUCCCAUUACUCACAGGAUUCCUCUCAGAAGUGUACAUGAAUUGGUUAUUAGCAACCAUGUCAAUGAGUUCUUGAGCUUCUGCAGGCGUUUUCUUUAGAUGAAUGGAUCCACCUGCAGAAGUAUCCAAUGACAUCUUAGCUAAUUCAGAUAGACCAUCAUAGAAUAUAUCCAGGAUGGUCCAUUCUGAAACCAUGUCAGAAGGACACUUUUUUGGUCAGUUCCUUGUAUCUCUCUCAAGCUUCAUAGAGGGAUUCACCUUCUUUCUGUCUGAAGGUUUGAACAUCCACUCUAAGCUUACUAAGCUUUUAAGGAGGAAAGAACUUGGCUAAGAAAGCCUUGACCAGCUUAUCCCAAGAGUUCAGGCUAUCUUUAGGUUGAGAGUCCAACCAUACUCUAGCUCUGUCUCUUACAGCAAAAGGGAAAAGCAUGAGCCUGUAGACUUCAGGAUUUACUCCAUUAGUCUUAACAGUAUCACAUAUCUGCAAGAAUUCAGUUAAGAACUGAAAAGGAUCUUCAGAUGGAAGUCCAUAAAACUUGCAGUUUUGUUGCAUCAGAAAAACUAGUUGAGGCUUAAGCUCAAAAUUGUUUGCUCCAAUGGUGGGAAUGGAGAUGCUUCUUCCAUGUAAAUUGAAAUUAGGUGCAGUAAAAUCACCAAGCAUCUUCCUUGCAUUAUUAUUAUUUUCAGCUGCCAUCUCCUCUUCUUGUUCGAAAAUUUCUGAAAGGUGCUUGCUGGAUUGUUGUAAUUUAGCUUCUCUUAGUUUCCUCUUCAGAGUCCUUUCAGGUUCUGGAUCUGCUUCAACAAGAAUGUUCUUGUCCUUGCUUCUGCUCAUAUGAAAAAGAGGGAACAGAAAAAUAAUAAUAGAGAUCCUUUUUGCCCAAGUAUAGAGGUUCCCUUAGGUGAGUGGAAGAAAAGAAGAGUAGAAGAAAAGAAGAAGAGAAAAUCUGAACUCAGAGAAAGAGAGGGGGAAGUUUUCGAAAAUAAUUUUUUUUGAAAAAGAGUUAGUGAUUUUCGAAAAUUAGUUUUUGAAAGAGGUUAGUAAUUUUCAAAAAUUAAAAUAAUUAGUUAAUAAAAAAAGAAAUUUUGAAAAAGAGGGAAGGGAUUUUCGAAAAUUAGAGAGAGAGAGUUAGUUAGGUAGUUUUAAAAAAGAUAAAAAACAAACAAAAAGUUAGUUAGUUAGUUGAAACAAAUUUGAAAAUCAAUUUUGAAAAGAUAAGAAGAUAAGAAAUUAGAAAGGAUAUUUUAAAAUCAAAUUUUUGAAAAAGAUAUGAUUUUGAAAAAGAUAAGAUAAAACGAUAUUUUUGAAAAGAUAUGAUUGAAAUUAGUUUUGAAAAAGAUUUGAAUUUUAAAAUCACAAUUAAUGACUUGAUUCACAAGAAAUCACAAGAUAGGAUUCUAUAACUUAAAGUUUGAAUCUUUCUUAACAAGUAAGUAACAAACUUGAAAUUUUUUAAUCAAAACAUUAAUUGAUGAUCUGAUUUUCGAAAAUUAUGUGAUGGAGAUAAGGAAAAAGAUUUUUGAAAAUAUUUUGAAAAAGAAUUUUGAAAUUUUCGAAAAUAAUAAAAAAAUGGAAAAGAUAUGAUUUUUGAAAAAGAUUUUGAAAAAGAUAAGAUUUUUAAAUUGAAAAUUUGAUUUGACUCAUAAGAAACAACUAAAUUUUAAAAAUUUUUGAAAAAGUCAACUCAAAUUUUCGAAUUUAUGAGAGAAAAGAGGGAAAGAUAUUUUUUUUAUUUUUUGAAUUUUUAUGAUGAGAGAGAAAAACAACAAAAAUACUCAAUGCAUGAAAAUUUUUGGAUCAAAACAAUGAAUGCAUGCAAGAAUGCUAUGAAUGUCAUGAUGAACACCAAGAACACUUUGAAUGUCAAGAUGAACAUCAAGAACAUAUUUUUGAAAACUUUUUGAUGCAAAGAAAACAUGCAAGACACCAAACUUAGAAAUUUUUCAUGUAUAGACACUAUGAAUGCAAGAAUGCAUAUGAAAAACAAGAAAAGAUUCAAAACAAGAAAACAUCAAGAUCAAACAAGAAGAUUUACCAAAAACAACUUGAAGAUCAUGAAGAACACUAUGAAUGCAUGAAUUUUUCGAAAAAUGCAAAAUGAAUAUGCAAUUGACACCAAACUUAUAACAUGACACAUGACUCAAACAAGAAACAAAAAAAUAUUUUUGAUUUUUAUGAUUUUCUAAAUUUUUUAUGGAUUUUUCGAAAAUUAAUGUGAAAAGGAAAAAUAAGGAUUCCAAAAUUUUUAAUAUGAAUUCCAGGAAUCUUGCACUCUUAGUCUAAAGCUCCAAUCUGAGGGUUAGACAUGGCUUAAUAGCCAGUCAAGCUUUAGAAGAUACAAAUCAGGUAUACAACAGCUGAAACUUCAUCUAACUUCAUAUACUUAUAAGUGGAAGCCUUAGUCCAAGAAGACAUGGCUUUACAGCCAGUCAUGAAACACUAGAAUUCAUUCUUAAAAAUUCUGAAGAAAAAUAUAUUUUAUUUUUUUUGAAAAUAUUUUUUUGGAAAAACGAAAAAGAAGAAAAUAUUUUUGAAAAAUUUUUGAAAACUUUUUGAAAAUAAAAUAAGAAGAAAAUUACCUAAUUUGAGCAACAAGAUGAACCGUCAGUUGUCCAAACUCGAACAAUCCCCGGCAACGGCGCCAAAAACUUGGUAUGCGAAAUCGUGAUCACACAGAUUUAGAUUUGUAAAAUUAUUUGUUCGUUCUUUCCCUGGCAAUUGCGCCAAAAAUGGAUGCACAAAACCAUGGUCCAAACAUAACUUCACAACUUCGCACAACUAACCAGCAAGUGCACUGGGUCGUCCAAGUAAUAAAACCUUACAUGAGUAAGGGUCGAUCCCACGAAGAUUGUUGGUAUGAAGCAAGCUAUAGUCACCUUGUAAAUCUCAGUCAGGCGGAUAUCAAAUAGCUUUGGAGUUUUCGAAAAUAAAUAAUAAAUAAAUAGAAAAUAAGGAUAGAAAUACUUAUGUAAUUCAUUGGUGAGAAUUUCAGAUAAGCGUAUAGAGAUGCAUUCGUUCCUCUGAAUCUCUGCUUUCCUACUGUCUUCAUCCAAUCAGUCUUACUCCUUUCUAUGGCUGGCUUUGUGUAAAGACAUCACCUUUGUCACUGGCUACUUUUUAUCCUCUCUGGAAAAUGGUCCGAUGCGCUGUCACUGCAUGGCUAAUCAUCUGGAGGCAUCACCGUGAUCAAUGGCUGCGUCCUAUCCUCUCUGUGAAAAUGGUCCGAUGCGCUGUCACUGCAUGGCUAAUCAUCUGGAGGUUCUCGAUCAUACUGGAAUAAGAUUUACUAUCCUUUUGCGUCUGUCACUACGCCCAGCACUCGCGAGUUUGAAGUUCGUCACAGUCAUUCAAUCCCAGAAUCCUACUCGGAAUACCACAGACAAGGUUUAGACUUUCCGGAUUCUCAUGAAUGCCGCCAUCAAUCUAGCUUAUACCACGAAGAUUCUGAUUAAGAGAUCCAAGAGAUACUCAUUCAAUCUAAGGUGGAACGGAAGUGGUUGUCAGGCACGCGUUCGUAGGGGAAUGAUGAUGAUUGUCACGUUCACCACAUUCAGGUUGAAGUACGAAUGAAUAUUAUAGAAGCGGAAUAAGUUGAAUUGAAUAGAAAAACAGUAGUACUUUGCAUUAAUCUUUGAGGAACAGCAGAGCUCCACACCUUAAUCUAUGGAGUGCAGAAACUCUACCGUUGAAAAAUACAUAAGUGAAUAUAGGGUAAGCAUGGCCGAGUGGUCAGCCUCCCAUGGAGGUCUAGAGAUCUAAAAAUGAUCAAAAGAUGUGUAAUACAAUAGUAAAAUGUCCUAUUUAUACUAAACUAGUUACUAGGGUUUACAGAAGUAAGUAAUUGAUGUAUAAAUCCACUUUUGGGGCCCACUUGGUGUGUGCUUGGGCUGAGCUUGAAUGUUACACAUGCAGAGGCUCUUUCUAGAGUUGAACGCCAGGUUGUAAUGUAUUUCUGGCGUUCAAAUCUGGUUUGUGACGUGUUUCUGGCGUUUAACUCCAGACAGCAGCGUAGGACUGGCGUUCAACGCCCUUUUACGUCAUCAAAACUCGGCCAAAGUAUGGACUAUUAUAUAUUGCUGGAAAUUUCUGGAUGUCUACUUUUCAACGCAAUUGGAAGCGCGCCAUUUUGAGUUCUGUAGCUCCAGAAAAUCCACUUUGAGUGUAGGGAGGUCAGAAUCCAACAGCAUCAGCAGUCCUUCUUCUACCUCUGAAUCUGAUUUUUGCUCAAGUCCCUCAAUUUCAGCCAAAAAAUACCUGAAAUCACAGAAAAACACCCAAACUCAUAGUAAAGUCCAGAAAUGUGAAUUUAACAUAAAAACUAAUGAAAAUAUCCCUAAAAGUAACUAGAUUAUACUAAAAACAUACUAAAAACAAUGCCAAAAAGCAUAUAAAUUAUCCGCUCAUCAUAUAUCAAGCAAUUAAACCUGCAAGAGAAUCCAAGCAUACAUCUGUUACAAGGCACGCUUCAAAAGUUUAGUAAGGAAAGCCUUCACAAUCCUGAAAUGAACCAGUUUAUCAUCGAAAAUUAAUGAAGCAUAGAUAAUUAUAAGUCAGUGUUUUGUGAUUAAAAGGAUUACUGUAGAAGAAAAAGGUCAAUGAAGAAACACAUGGAGGAAGUUGUAAGUCUCCAUUUUGACUUUGGAGAAGAAUAUCUUGUUAUAUCAUACUUGAUUGUACUAAAUUUGCUUAGAAUAAAUUAAAUCAUAAUGUGUAUAGUUUGGUCUAAAGUAUGGCAGCAAGCAUUUUAUAUUCUCGUUGUCCCCACAUCAUAAAUAAUAUAAAUUAAAAUGUAGGAGUUAUAUUAUAUAUAAUAUAAUAUUACUUGUAGGAAUUGUUGACUUUGAUUUCAAUUGUAAAUUUUAAUCAACCAUGCAUGAUAUUCAAAUAUCGGUGCUCACCAUCAAGACCAACUCUUAAACCAUUUUGCCUUCUCUUCAAGCAUUGCUUCGUCAGGCUGAGGCACCGUAAAAGCUGGGAUUUGAUCUGGAGUGAGAAAAAUAGAAAAUAUAGAUUAUAAUUGAUGGAUUUAGAAAGAAAGGACAGAUAGAGAAUUAAAAAGGUAUUUAUAUUCAAAACUAAGAGAAAAUAUUUUAAUCUAAACAUACUUUAAAUAUACCAGCCUUCUCACCAGCAAUUUCUUCAAGAGUAUUCCCUGUUAACAGAAUCCAAUAGAAAUAAACUGAAUGAAAAAUAUCAUUGGCGUUGCAGCAUCAUGUUAGAUAUAUUCUGACAAUUCAUGAAUUUUAUAAGGUAUUAUCAAGAAUACAAAGAUUGAAAACUAACCAAGAAUAUUCAUGUGGUCAUUUAGGACUUUAUAUACUGCAUGUAAACAUAUUGCUGUCACCUAAUGUCACCAUAUUGCUGAAUUGAGAACAUAUAAAAAACAGAAUUAAUAAUUUAUAUAGCACAAGUAAUGGUAAUUAAAUAAUCAUGUAUUGUUUUAAUCUAAAUAUGUUUAACUUAAAUUUCCAAAAUCUGCAUGUCUUGUUCCACAUAAUUUUUUUCCUAAACAGUGACACGCCACAAUAGAAUAGAGAAGAUGGUGAAUUAAGAGAACUAACAAGUUGUAUAAUGAAAGAUAUGAAAGAAACUAUUAGGGUUCUAAUUAUUAGCCAAGCUAGACAUAUGAUUGCUUUCCACCAUUAAGGUUCUAAUUAUUAGGAAGAUAAGCAUAAAGGAGACAUCUUAAAGUUUGUCAAUCUAGUAUCAGUACUGAAAGAUAAAUGAACCUUACAAGGGAUGUGUCUAUAUAAUAUCCACUAAAGAAAAAAGCUUGUAUUUACAAGGGACUAAUUAAGGUUAUGAACUACUAAACAAAUAUACUAUAUAUACUGCAUUAUUUUAUAUGGUCCAUGUAUAUUAAGACAAUGGUUAUCACUCACCAUAACCCACCUUAUCAGAAAACAAGUGAAACAAAUAGCUAUGAUAGAUUCAAACUGCAAUAUAAUGUCACAACUAAAUUGAUAUGAAAAAAUUCUUCUGAGAUUUACUUAUUAAAUGAGUAAUUUAUAUAUGACAAAUUAAGACUCAAGUCAAAAUUUGUUGUGAUUUAAGAAAUAAUUACAAGUAUUUAAAUGAGACAAGUAUUCAAAUAAGACAAUGCAGAAACCUCACAUUCCUCCAUAUAGCAAGAAGCCUAAUGCAGCCAUAAAUGACACAACUGAGGAAAAGAAAAAUCUCACUUUAGAAAUUGUAUAUGCAUAAACCAACCAACCAUUCAUACAGAAAGCUAACCUGCAAUAAAUAUCUUUUCGAUGAAUAUCACAAGUGUUGUCAUCUAUCCGAACGUAUAUCCAAAUACAAACCUGAACAGAUAGUCAUAUUUUAGUAUACAUUCCUUUCAGCUCAAAAACUGUAAAAGUAUUUUACUAGCUUCACAUAAUUAUGCAGAAAAUACUUGAUAACAAUAGAAUGAGAUAGGUACCUACCUGAAUAAAAUACAAAGCACCAUUUAUUGAAAUAUAAACUAUAUGACACAUAAAAUAGUUAUAAAAAAGUAGUUAACGUAGCUGAAAGUAGAGUUUAAAACACAUAAAUCAUCUCAACCUUUUAGUGCAUUUGGAGGGAAGGAAAUUGGCUCCGAUAAAGUAGAACAGUUGUUGGAUUUCGGACCACAAAUUAAUGGAUUUCCGACAAUCCUGAAAGUAAAUAAUCAAUCAAGAAAUGAGUACACUAUUUUUUUUGUUAACUUGAAUACAUAGCUAAAGUCAACAUUUAACUAGAAACGCUAAAUGAUCUUACUUUAAUGUUCUUGCUGGUAUUCUUGGCAAGGAACCACUCAGAUUAUUGUAGGAGAAGUUUCUACAUAUAUUUUUCAAUUCAUUACAGUUAGUAUUCAAUUUUAUACCUAGAAAUCAUUAGUUUUAUAAGGAAAAGAUAACAUUAAUGCCAAGGUAACAAAGACCUACACAAGUGUUAAACCUUCUAUGUUGCUUAAAGACUGAGGACACGGUCCUGUAAGGCUAUUAUUAUUCAACCGUCUAGCACCAACAAGAACACAUUAAAUGGAGUAAGAAACCAAAUUUCAUAAGUCCAAAUAGAAAUAAGUAUCAAACACAACACUUUGAACAGUUAGAAUCUGUAAUAUAAGUAACUUACAAAUAAUUCAGGUUCUUGAGGCCUCCCAAAGAAUUCGGUAUCUCGCCACUAAAAUUGUUAUUGGAGAGAUAAAGUGUCUGAAGCUUUUCUAGGCUUCCAAUUGCUGUAGGCUAAUGAAAAUCCAGACAACUUACACAGAUUGUAAGUUAGUAAGCUUUCCAACCCAAGGAGAUAGAGUACCAGACAAGUUCUGACUAGGCAUUCCCUUGAUAUGAAAAGAAAAGAUCUUUAGAAGAAAGAAAAAAUAAUUCAAACUACUCAAAUUUGUUUGGUUCAUUUUCUUAUAUAAAUAUCUUGAAACUUGUUUGCUACUUUCAUAAAACACUUCAAAAUCUAAACUUACAAUACUAAAACAGAGCCAUCAAGGUUACAAGUAAUCAUCCUCCAACUGCAAGGAUCAACAGAAUUACUAUCCUAAUUCUCCAGGACAUUGUGGGAUCAUUCAAUUCAUUCUUUAUCGCCAUCAAAGCUAGAACUGUUCAGUGAAGAAACGGAAAGAAGGGUAAGAACUAAAACCUCCCAUCAAUUAAUUCACUUGAGAAUAUGCCACUAUGUAACAGGUAAUUAGGAAGUACUUAAGAGUUAAGAUUCUCAAGGCAAAAAAGAAAAAGAAAUAACAAGUCAGAGAAUAGCAUCAUCAUCAAUUUUUCAGCUAUCAUUCCUAGUAAUUUCCAGCAUAAUUAACUUGACCAAAGAUCAAAAUGAAAAAGGGAAGCGGGGAAGAAAAUUAAAGAAAAGGUUAACCUUCAUAGUUUAUGCCAGAAGGAGAAAGAACAGCAGCAGAAAUCUCCAUCAUCAACAGAAGAAGUGAACAUAACAGCCAUGAAACCAAUCUGCUUUGUUCCAUGCUGUAUUCUCAAUUCAGUAACAAUGCCUUCCUCCACACACAACAAAAAAAACCACACAGAUUACAAAUUUUUUAACUAUAUGGACUUAUUUGAAAAUUGGUUACUAUCCAAACCAAAUAUUAUUCUAUCGUAUAUAUGCAGAAGGAUUUAAGUAGAGACAAGCUUGCCUUGGUUAGCUUUAUCAUCAGUAACAAAAUUUGCCUUUCUUCUGAUGGCUUUAUCACCAAUAGAAAAAUUGAAGGUGAUUCAUUAGUAAGACAUAUGGAAUAGAAGAAUUGCAGCUAACAAAGCUCUAAGCAGAUCUCAAAGUUCAACCCUUGUAAAGCAUAAUCCAUAAUCGUAUUCUCUUAGAAGGAUCACUAUCACACUGCAGCAAGAAGCAGUAGCAAAAGAAAAAAGAUAGUGCAGUGAAAGAGGAAACACCAAAAAUUGAAAAACCAUGAGAAAAAAAGUUUCAACAAAAAAUUUUAAAUCAAACUAAUUACUAAAAUCAGAAAAAACAAAUCUAACUAAACCUAAUCUAAUCAAAACCUAAAAAUCCACUAAUCAGAAAACAAAUCUAACUAAACUAAUUACUAAAAUCAAACUAACUAAAAAAAUUAAUUGAACUUAACAGAAAUUAAAAGAAUUUUGAAACCAAAACCUGGAAGCAUUGACUGGAGGAGAUGAUGGCUGCGGCGCUGAGAAAAUAUGCGAACCAGAACUGAGUGGGGAUAAAAGGAGAGAGAGGCGCGGCGGUGGUGAGGACAGACGCUGCUACAGGUGGCACCAGCGUGCUGGAGCUCACCUGAGACGAAGAGAAUAGGAGCUUGAGCUUGAUUUGUUCUGCGAACGAGAAAGAACGAGAGAGACAGGGGCUGUGUUCCACUGGUUCAGUGUUUAAAAGAGAGAAGAAGAAGGAGAAGGUAGCUGCGGUGGUUAGGGUGGCGGCGGUGGCAUUGUGAGUGAGGAAAGGAGAAGAAGAAGCUCGUGCGACGGAGAAGCUCGUUGAAGGAGAGAGGAACAACUCGUUUGAUCUGUGAUUUUUUGUGCGUGAAAGGAGCUCCAUAGGGUGGGGGUGAAGUUAGGUUUAAAUUAAAAUUUUCCGACGAAAAAUUUUAAAUUACAGACGAAUUUUCUAUCUGUAAUAAUUUAAUAAAAUGCAGUAUUUUUUUCUAUUUAAUUACAGACGGAUUUUCCGUCUGUAACCAUUUCCCACAAAAAAAAUUAAUUUUUGCGACAGAAUUAUCGACAGAUUCUUUUUUUCGUCUGUAAUUUAUGCUAAUUCAUUUUUUUGUUUUUUGACAAAAAAUUCCUCUGAAAUUCUGUCUGUAUUUCUGUGGGAUAAAAUUCGUCGGAAAUAUCCGUCUGUAAUAACUAGUUUUCUAAUAGUGAUAAGUGUAGAUGCACAAAAUAUAAAGAGCUAAACAUUAUUAAAAUGCAUCUGUGGGAAAAAGAGGUUUAUGCUAAAUUAUUGGAUUUGGAUAGAAUAUGGAGAGAUUGACAACAUAGAGAUUAAUCACAUAGGAUUAAUUAGAGUGGAUAAUAACAUAAUUUAAGUGAUAUUAGAUCUUAUUUAAUAGACAUCUAUUUAUGCAAAAAAAAAAAUUAUUUUGUGUUUUAUGUAAAAUAGAAAAAGUAGUUGGACCAUACAUCAACCUACCAGAAAAUUUUUAAGAAAACUUACACACUUAAAAAUGACAAAUCUAAAUGGGUGGACAAACGCUCUCAAAAUACUCAUGUUCAUGUGAGAUAUAAUAUAAAUAUUAAAUUAUUAAUUAAUUAAAUGUUAUAUAAUGUAUAUAUGUUACCUUGGAUUCUGAAGAAAUUUUUAGACACCUACCACCUUACUACGUCCCUGCUGAUCUCAAUAAUCUCAUAUUUAUUAACUGAUUAUUAAUAAUAUCCAUCUAUCAAAUCAAGUCAAGUACGAACAACAUAUUAUAAACUUAUUAUAAACUAAUGAUUAUGGAUCUCACACAAUUAGUGGAUUGAUUUGAGUGGAGAGCAAGAAGUGAAAAAAAAAAUAGUAAAAGAAUAUUAAUUAAAUGAGUGGAGAGAUAAUUGACAUCAAAGAAAGAGAAGGUAAUUGAUUUCGUAUCCCAUAAUAAAACCUAUCUUCUUCUGAAUUUGAUGUAAUUUUUUUUUUCCAGCAAAUUGUAUUUGAUAUAUGCAUAGAAAUAUACAUGUUUAUGGUUUAUCUCAUUACUAAAUCUAAAGUGAUAAUAGAAAUAUUUAAAUAAUUUUUUAGUAGAUAUAAUAGAAUUUGUUUAGUUUAAUCAUUUCAUCUCUCAUUCAAUAAAUAUUUUUAGAUUGAAAUCAUCAAGUCAAAAUUACCAUAUUAUUGUGAAAUAAUAUACUAUAUUGUUUGAAACUUAAUUUAUAUAAUUGAUAUAAUCAUUGUGCAACAGGAGAAGUUUAUAAAAAAGUUGGCAGAAAUUCCGGCCCAACAUGCCGAGACUCGAGCACAGGAAAUGGAGCUACUACUGUAAGAUCCCAAAUUUUUAAAAAUUAUUAAUAAAUUAUUUAUGAUCUAUUAUAUUUAUUUAAGAUUAUAUUUUUAGAAAUUUUACAUAUAAGUUGAGUAAUUUUUUAUUUAUUUUUAGAGUUCUUAUAAUUGAAAAAUAGUGAAUAUUUUUAUAUGCCUUAAUUUUAAAUAUUUAGAUUUUUAACCUUAUUUUAUAAAUAAAAGAGAAUUAAUCUAGUUAUCAUCAAUUUUCAUUGAAUUAGUAUUUAUUCGAAAAUAGAUUUCAAGUUGAUAAUAAUAUGGUAUUUCAAAGAUGAUUAUUACAUAUUUAAUUUGAAUUUAAAUUAUUACUCUAUACUUUAUUUUUAUUAAAAACUACUACCUUAUCUUAAUCUCUAAAAUUCUCAAUUUCAUUACAUAACACAAAUCCUAAUUUACCUUCAUUAACCUAAACCUUAACCCACUCACCUCUACCACCCCCACACCCCACACCCUACACGGACACAAACACACAAAACACACACACACACAAAAACCAAAAAAACACACACACACACAGUUCCUGUAAGGAAAGAAAGAAAGAAAAGAAAAGAAAGAAGAAAGAAGGGGAAGGGAGAAGAAGGAGAUCCGAGAAAGGGAGGGAGUGCCGGUGGAAAGGGAAGACGCGCCGGUGCUGGUGGGUCGUGCCACCGCUGUCGCUGCGCCCUACCUAGUUGACGCCGCCGCUGCUGUCUGCGAGGUCGUCUCCGUCACGGAUCAGAACUGAGGUGAGAGAGAGAGACUGACGGGAGGGCGUGCGCGCAAGAAGGGGGAAGGCAUCACGAGGAGCGUCGCACCGCCGCUGCUGUCCGUGCCGUCGCCGUCGCUGUUGGUCCACCUUGGAGUCGCCGUUGAAGUUGAGCCGCGGAGAGAGAGAGGGUUCGAGAGUGAGAGAGGGCUGCGGGCCUGGAACCGCCGCGUCCAGCCGUCGCCGCUUGCUUCGUCACCGCUCCUAGAGGUGGGUGGCUAAACCUCUGCCGCCUGAGCUCCACGUCACCUCUGCCGCCUAAAACCCCGCUGCCAUCGCCAGAAAACACUGCCGGUAAGGUUUUAAGUAUUGGGUCUUUCGAGUUCUGGAAAUGUUACAAUUACUCCAUGUUGGUUUCAGUUGCUGUCGCCAGAAUCCGGUCGCCGUUGUCGCAUGAGGUUGCUGCCGGGGCCAUUGCCAAACCGGUUCAGAGACCGCCGCUACUUCGUUUUCGUAUUACAGUAAGUAUUUCUGUUUUGGAGACCAGUGUUAGUGUUUUGUUACGUGUAUUAAAGUCUUUGUGACAUUGAUGCUUUUAGGAAUUAGAAAUCGAGUUUGCAUGUUGCGUUUGGGGCUGUUCUGUUAUUGAGAAAGCAAGCGGAGCUGAAGUUUCGGUUGCCGUUGAUUUCGGGCUGAGCGAAAAGAGUUCAAUCGACACAUUUGGGUUAUGGUUUUGCUUAUCGAGGUAGGGGCUUUUUUCAAAAACUAAACUUUAUAUUUCGGAGUUGCUAUAUAUAGAUUUUGAUGUGAAAAAUGUGCUUUUAGUGAUUGUAUAAGUCUUAUGUAUUGUUUGGUUGUCUUGGAUGGAUAUGAAUGCUUGUUUGACCGGAUUGUUGUUGGGUCUUGUGAAAUAGACUGUUUUUGAAAUGUUUCUUUAAAGUUAUUUCUUCUAAAGUUUUUUAAUGGAGUUUAAUCCAUUGGAGAUUGAUUUGAGUUUGAGUUGGUUUUCUAGAAAUAUGAAAAUGGUAUGCACUUUUGGAUUCAGCUUGAUUGUGAACUGAUUUGGUUUUGAACCCGUUAAAGAAGGUUGCGAAAUAGUUUGGUUGGGACCCAAAAAGAAUGGCAAAAUCCAAGUUUUAGGGGAGAUGCUGCCGAAUUUUUAUGAAAUUUAAGAUUUUUUUUAAAAUGUGAUUUAGAAAAGGAAUGAGUUUGAGAAGUUCUAUUAUUUGGUUCUUGAUUUAUUAAGAAAUAGGUGUUUCGAGUUUAAUUUAUUUAAGAAAAGUUUAUGUUUUAAGAUUGAUUUAAAUAUGAAAGAACCUAUGUUUUGAAGUUUGAUUAAUUAAAGAAGUACCUUUGGAGAAGUUAUAGUGGACUUUUAAAAGAAAUUGAACUUUGAUUAAUUAAAUUCGUUUUGCUUUCGAAGUAUUCUUUAAAUUUUGAUUUAGCAAGACUAAACACUUCCAAGUCUUGGAAAGGUUUCCGAUUUAAGAAUAAAAUGGAAUUGGCUUUUGGGCUUAAAUAAUUUUGGUUUUGAAAGUGGUUCAGAACUUUUCGCGUACAUGCCUUGGUUUUGGUUUUAAAUAUUUAUUUUGAUCGAUUUCAAUUCAAGUAACUAUGAUUUCAAGUAUUUCUAAAAAUAUUUAAGAAAUGAGGUAGUUUAUUCUUUCCUAAAGUCAUGAUACCUUGUUAUGGAUUUUAAUUAAUAGCUUUUGAUUUCAAAGUGAUGGAGCGAAUGGUUUGAAAAUGAAUGAUUUUAAGUCUUUUAGAAGAGAUUUUGAAUUUGACUUGGUUUUGAAGUUGCUUGGAAGUUUUGAAAAGAAGAUUUACUUGAGAAAAGUGGUUCUUGGCAAGAUGUGAACUGAAUACGUUUGUGAUUUGAAAGUAAGUGAGCCAAGAAUGACUAUUGUAAUGAGAUUUUGAGUUUGAUUGACUGUGGAUAUUGCUAAGAAUAUGAUGAGGUUUUUUUUUGCCUGGCAAGGAUGGUGGUAUAAUCCUGCUUGCUCAGUGCGUAAACCGUUAUGCAGGGAUGGUGGUUUUAUCCCGCCUGCAGUAAGGAUGGUGGUUUUAUCCCGCUCAAGUAUUGAUAAAUUGUUGGCAAGGAAGGUGGUUUAAUCCCGCUUGCGUGUUCCAAGCAAGGAUGGUGUUUAAUCCCGCUUGUUUAUGGAACCUACGGAUAAGGAUGGUGGUGUAAUCCCACUUAUCCGAGUCGGGUCUGGCAACAUAACCGACACGUGAGCUCAUGGUCAAUAGGACAGGCAUGCAUCAUAUGCAUUUAUAUGACAUUGUUUAGGUGCGCAUAUUGUAAUUGGUUUGCGUAUGCGAAUAAUUAUAUUUAAUUGCUCUACUUGAUGUAACUGCUUGAUUGUGUUUGAACCUUCUUACUUGUGUUUGUGACUGAAAAUUGGUUGGAUUGUGGUGAGUUGGAUGUUGAUUGAGUUGUUUGGGCCUGAAGUCGUGAUUGAUUAUGUGAUGGGCCGGAGGCCGUGAUUAGUUUGAGUUUUUGGUUUAGUAAAGUAUGAAAAAUCAAACUGGUUCAGUAUAGAUGUAAUGAACCUAUACUUGGAACAGCGUGGUCAUUCAUACUGUCUAGGAAAAACUUUUAAGUUUUGAUACAAAUGGUUUUGGGUAUUUAAGAAUAAACGGAUUUCUCUUCUAAAAAGGAUUUCAGAUCUUUAAAUGUAAACCUUUGGUUUUUGAAAUGAUACAUAAGGCGAACAACGGUCACUGUACUCGGAAAACAGAUUUAUUUCAUGUAUCUUAUUAUAGCCAUUCUAUAACCUUAUAGUGAGAACCCUUUCGAGGACAAUGUUCUCACUCCCUUACAAGUCUUUUGAUUUUUUAGGUCCUGGACGACGAAGUUUGGAAGAGCUUAUAUUUUCUGUUUAAUCGAUGUUUUAUGUUGUAUUAGUUACUUUUUUCCUCACCUUUACUUUUACAAGUUUUUAUAAGAGGGAUAGGACUUUGAUUAUGUAAUGCUUGUAAAUUAGUAAUAUGUAUAUAUAUAUAUAUUCUUUAUGAGUAUUGUAGUUUUUAUUUUAAAUACGGAUGUAUGUCUUGAAAGUUUGAUUUAAGUUUUUUUUAAACAGGCUCAUAUUUCAGUAUUAAAUAUUUUAAGAGUCGUCGUAAUACCCGAGCUAUCAGAGUGACGCAUCCGGAAGCGCGACAUUUUGAUAGUUAUGGUAUUACAACCACCAAUUGAUGAAGACUUGAUUUGGGAGGAAGUGUGUGGUAGAUAAAAGAAGAAUCGAGUUUACGAAAAAGGGACAUUCUUUUCUAGUUCUAUCAAGUCUAGAACCACUUCUGCCAAUUCUGUAUCUCGAAGAGCAUCUAGAAAUCAAAAUUUCACUUCUGAUUUGUGAGAACAGAUUCAUAAUCUCAAUGAAGAACUUUUUCAGCGUGUUACUCAACAAACAAAUGAGCGUAUUAGUAAGUUGUUUGAUACAUGCUUGGCUCCUUUGGAUAAGACUCAAAAUAAGUUAGAAAAGUUAGAACAGGCAAUUGGAAAGGUCAAGAAGGAAAAGAUGAAACAGAAGAGAUGGAAUGAGGCUUAUGUUAGCUAUUACGAGAAGGUUAGAACAUCAAGUAGUUCCAGUGUUGUUCCACUACCACUGCCACCGCCGCCACCCUCAAUCUCUUCGAGUGAGGACUACGAUAAUGAUGAGGAUGAAGAUGACACUAAAGACUAUAGCUGGUAGUUUUAGUAUGGUUGAACAAUAUACUGAGAAUUAUAGCUGAUGUAUCAAUACACUUCGUUUAUGUUUUGAAUUAUAUUGACUUGCUUGUUUAUAAUACUUUUCUUUUAGUUUGAUAAUACGAUGAAUUUGUUAAUUUUUUGAAAUAUUAUAAAUAUUCGAAUACAAAUUUGAUAAAAUUUGUAUUUAUUAAUUUUAUAUUUAUUUUGUAUGAAAACAUAUUUAUUUUGCAAUAGAAAAAUCUAAAAAAAAAAUUCUAUUUUACCUUACAGACGGAUUUUCAGUCUGUAUUCAGAGUUUGGAAUGAUUUUCCAAGGUUCCAAUUACCGACGAAAAAUCUGUCAAAAAAUCUGUCUCUAAUUACCGACGAAAAAUCCUUCAGAAUAUCUGUCUCUAAAUACCGACGGAAAAUCCAUCGAAAAAUCUGUCUCUAAUUACCGACGAAAAAUCCAUCGAAAAGUUUGACGUUCCAGGGAAAUGGAGGAGAGAAUUUACCAAGAAAAAAUCUAUCAAUAACUGGUAAAAAUAUGUCGGUAAAUUACCGAUGAGACUUUUACUGAAGGACAAAAUCUGUCGGUAACCGAAAAUUUGUCGGUAAUAAAGACCAAAUCUGUAUGUAAAUAUAUCUGUAUUAAGCAUUUUUUAGUUGUAUAAGUACAAAAACCUAAUUUUUAUAUAAUAGAAGAGAUAAUAAAUAGAAUAGAUGAGAAUAUGAUAUGUGACAUAUUUUAAUUAUAAAAUUGAUAAUAUAUAAUAGAUUUUUUUAUGAAUUUUUAUUGCUUGUUAGCUGUUAAUUUUUACGUUAUUGCUUAAUAAUUUUCACUUAUGAAACUAUCAACAUCCUAAUAUUAUAGUUUAGUUAAUAAGAAUGAUGACGUUAAUAUUUCUCCCUAAGUCUUGUUAUUAUUUAUAAUUAGAAAAGAAUCAUAAAUAAAUUUAUUUUUUUAAAUGAAUGCUAAUUUUGUUGUGUAAGACCCAGAAAUUUCGGAAAAUCUUAUUAAAAACUAAUUUUGACUUAUUUACUCGUUAAGUAAUUUAAUCUCAGAAAAUUAUUUUAUUAAAGAUAAUUAAAACAAAUUUUGAUUAUUUUAAAUUAUAAAGUUUAGCAAAUUGAUAAUCAAAUAAUAUUUUUAAAAUAAUUUUAUGAAAUUAAAUUAAAUUUUAAUUAAUACUCUAUACCUUAAUUUAAUUAAAAUUACCAAAUUCUAAUUUAUCAAAAAUCCCUAAUUUCACAUUUUCCCCAAAAGCAAAUCCUAAUUCCAAAUUAAAAACCCUAACCCUAACCUCCUUAUCCCCACCGCCAUGCCUCCACAGCUACCACUCACCCCUCCCUUUUACCCUUUCUUCUUCAAUAAAGACAAACACACCCACACCCUCCUAUGUUUCCUUCAGCAGCCGCCAUCCCAUUUCCCUUCCCCCUCCCCCCUCUUCACUGAGUGCACAUACAUCACCAUCAAGAGAGAGAUCCGGAGAAGAAGCAACUACCAUCGCACCGCCCCACGCCCUGGAGCUCGCCAUCGAACCAUGCGUUGCUGCUAUGGGCUCGCCGCCGUCGAAGUUCCGUCGCCAACCAUGGAGCCGUGAGAUGCAUCGCCGUCGAGAGAGAGCAUCACGCUGAGGGAGAACCAACCGGAGAAAGGGAGAGGCGUCGUGUCUACUGCGAGCCCGCUGCUUAAGGAAGCAGUUGCCAUCGUCACCCUUAUCGCGACCUGUCACCGUCACUGGAGCCAGCCAUCUUCAUCGCCGUUCAUGCCGUCACCGUUCCUCGCCACUGCUGAGCCGUCGUCGGGCUGUGCACCGCCACGUAGGGCCAUUUCCAAUUGGCGCCGUGGCUGGUGGUUGCCUCUGCUUUCGGUGUAAGCAUCCCGUCGGAGCUCAGUCACCGUUCUACUCUCCGGAAGUUGUCACCGGAGCUGCGACUGCUCCGGUCUUGGUUCCUUGUUAUGCAGUAAGUUGUUUCAGCUCCGAAAACCUCUUUUCCUUUGUCGUUGUUCUGUUAUAGAUUUUGAGUUUUACGCGGCGUUAAUGUCUUAGGGUUAAGCUACGGUCCUUGUGUGCUGUGUUUAGAGGUUGUGACUGUUGCGAGGAUGGUCGGAUUUGACGCUGCUGCUAUGAAUCAAAGUUUUAAGGGUUUUGUCGCGUAGUUAGUUGCGAACGAGGUAGGGGUCUUUUUCAGAAAACUAUACUUUAUAAAUUGGAAUUAUUAUAUAUGGAUAUUUAUGUGAGAAAUGCACUUCUAAUGAUUGUAUAUGUCUUAUGUAUUGCUUGAUUGACUUGGAUGGAUAUGACUGCUUGUUUGAUUGGAUUACUGUUUGGUUUGUGAAACGGACAGUUCUUGAAGCAUUUCUUUAAAGUUGUUUCUUUACAGUUUUAAAAUUGAGUUUAAUCCGUUGAAAAAUGAAGUCGUUUCUUGAAAUAUGAAUUUUUGAAAUUAGUCUGAUUUUAAACUGAUUUGGUUUUGAGCCGUGGAAGGGGCUACAGAAUGGUUUGGUUGGGACUCGAAAAGGGUGGCAAAGUCUAAGUUUUAGGGAGAUGCUGCUGAAUUUUCAUGAAAAUUAAGAUUCUGUUUUAAAAUGUGAUUUACAAAAAGAAUGAAUUUGAGAGGUUCCAUUGCUUGGUUUUUUAUUUAUUAAGAAAUAGAUGUUUCGAGUUUAAUCUGUUUUACGGGAAGUUUAUGUUUUAAGAUUGAUUUAAAUAUGAAAGAACCUAUGUUUUGAAGUUUGAUUAAAGAAGUACUUUUGGAAGUAUUUUUAGUGGAUUUUAAAAGAAAUUGAACUUUGAUUAAUUAAGUUCGUUUUGCUUUUAAAGUACUCUUUAAAUUUUGAUUUAGCAAGACUAAACAAUUCCGGGCUUUUGGGAAGGUUACCGAUUUAAGAAUGAAAUAGAAUUGAUUUGAAACUUAGUGUUUUAAACAUGCUUUGGUUUUUGUUUUAAGUCUAUCUCAAUUGACUUCAAAUUAAGUAACUAUAAUUUCGGGGAUUUCUAAAGAAUUUAAGAAAUGAGGUAGGCUAUUCUUCCCUAAAGUCUUGAGUCUUUGCUAAGGUUGUUAAUUAAUAACUCUGAUUUAAAAUAGUUAAACAAAUGAUUUUAAAAGUAAAGGAUUUGAAUCUUUUCAAAAAGGAUUCCCAUUUGAUAUGGAUUUUUUUUAAGAAAAUGUGGAUUAUGAACUUGGAAUAAUUUGAGACAUGAGGAUUUUAGAGUUAAGACUGAGAUGGAUUGACUUUGGUUUCAAAGUAAAGAGAUUUGAGAAAAAGUGACUUAAGGCUUGAAUGAUGAUUGAUUUGAUAUGAAUUGUAAUAAAGUGCGAAAAUGAUAAUGAAUAAAUGAAUAUGUGACCCUUGCACUUCUUUUAUCUGAGAUACGAGUUUUUCUGGGUAAAGUGUCGUGGCUCGCCACCACGUGUUCCAGGUUGAAACUCGAUACUCUGUUGACCCUACGACGUAAGGGUGGCCGGGCACGUAUAAAUUCCCGGGAAUGGUAUCCCUAUUAAGCGAUUUGAUAUAUAUAUAUAUGAGAAAAAGCUAUGCAUAGACUCAUGGGGAUGCGCGUCAGGGAACAGUCCAAGAGUUUAGCAAACCGGACUUGUUGGAUUGGCUUGAUAACCGACAGAUGAGACUCAUCAGCCAUAGGGCAGGCAUUCAUCAUAUGCAUCUAUGCGACAUUAUUUGGGUGUGCAUAUUGUAAUUGGUUUGCCAAUGUGAUUAUGUUUAAUUGCUAAUUGCUCUACUUGAUGUAACUGCUUGAUUGUGAUUGAACGUUCCUAUUUGUGUUUGUGACUAAAAAUGGGUUGGAUUGGCUGUUAUUUGAGUUGUUUGGGUCUAGGACCGUGGUUGGUUAUGAGAUGGGCCGAAGACCGUGCUUGGUUUGUGUUUUUGGUUUAGAAAAGUAUAAAAACCUAAACUGGUUCAGCAUAGACUUAAUAAACCUAUGCUUAGAAUAACUUGGUCAUUUAUGCUAUCUAGGAAAAACUUUAAAAAGGCCUUUGGAUUUUAUUUUUAGAAUUAACAGCUUUCUAUUUUAAAAAGGAUUCCAGAUUUUGUUUGAAUAUAAAUCUUGGGUUCUGUAAAAAUACAUAAGGCGAUUAUUAAUCACUGUUUUUUUAAAAAUGGUUUUAUUUUUCAUGUAUCCUAUUAUAAUAAUUCUGUAACCCUAUGUAAGUAUUGAUAUUUGUAUGGAUGUAAGUUAUCUAUUUAAAAGUCUUCUGAGCAGUAAUUCAAUUUAAGUUAGUUUUUAUACAGACUCAUAUUAUAGUAUUAAAUAUUUUUAAGAGUCGUCGUAAUACCCGAGCAAUCAGAGUAGCAUAUCCGGAAGCGUGACAUUUUAAUAGUUAGGGUGUUACAUAUUGUGAAAUUUUAUAUUACCUUUAAAAUUUUAGCGUAAUUGAGUCUAAUUCUUACAUUUUAAAAGAAAUUUAUUCGAAAAAAUUAAAAUGUAAAUUACAUUAUUAUUACAAAAUUACUUUAUUAACAUAAUUAGUGGUGCUUACUUGAACAAUUAAAUUUAGCUUCUAAUGAUAUUAAAGUCAACAUAUUUUAUUGUCUUGUGUCUUCAAAGAAUUCACAAGACUGUCAUAAAAAUCAAACAAUUGAGAAAUAAAAUUUAUUACAAUCGGUAUAUUCAUUUUAAUAGAUAUUUUUUUAUCCAAUACUAUAAAAAAUACACUUGCUACCUUGAAUUAUUACAUGUUUAACUUCUAUCGAUAGUGGUAGAAUGCUAAAUUGAGAUCUUUUUGGGCUAUAGUAUUCGUCAAACAAACAAUCAAUGAAACACUCAUCUGUGCCUUCUCAUUUUGAGUAUAUUUAUAUAUAAAAGAAAUUCUACAUAAAGAAAAAAAAAAGAAGAAGAAAAUAAUAGUUGAAAUAGCAAGAGCAAUAAAAAUGAUAAUUCUUAUAAUUUUGUGUGGCCAUCUAUAUAUAGUAAACCGAAAGACCAUGGUUAUCUAACGAAAUUAAUUUGUAGAUAAGAAAUUUGUAUUUAUUGAAUUCAAUUUGAAUAAGUAAAAAAUUAUUUUAGUUUAAUAUUCUUUAAUUCACAUGAUUUGAAUUUGUAUGAAGAGAAAGAAAAGCUUCAUAGAGAGAGAAGAGAUGCUUUAUUGAUGUAUUUCUAUCUUUCAGAGCAAACCCCUAUUUAUAUACAAAUAAGGGGUCAACUUUUUAAACUCAAUUAAUUACACAAUUUCUCUUGAUAUUCUUAAUAGCAUAGAGAAAUGGUCAUCCACCUCAUACCCACUUCAUACUUAUCACAACAAUUAAUUAUGAUUCCUUUUUUUAAAAUAUUAAUUGUAUAUGUUUUUUUAAUUAUGUUAUAGUUUUUAUAAUUACGUGAAAUCUAAUUAUUUUGAUUUAUUUAUUAGAUAUGUUUUAAUAAAAAUUAAAGACAAUAACUGUAAAUAUAAUUAAUGGCUAUUAAAUGCGAUUCGAAUCCCAACACUUACUUUAACAGACUAAUAAACUAACUACUAGACUAACCCAAUUUAAUUUUCUUAAUAAUUAAUACUUCAAUUAUAUAUAUAUAUAUACACAUAUAUACACAACAAUGAUUUUAGAGAGAGAGAGAGUGAUAUAAUUAUCCAAACAUCAAUGGAUCUUUGUGCUAGAAGCAUUUUCGUGCCAUGGCUUCUUCUUCUUCUUAUGGUUCAACUAUUAUUAUUUUGUAGCGGCGCAAUAACACCAAAAAUACAUGUGGGCAUAACACAAAAGAUACACGUGACCAUCCAAAAUUAUUUGGAAGGCCAUCAAGACUUAACAAUUCAUUGCAAAUCCAAAAAUGAUGAUCUUGGAGCGAAGCUUGUAAAGUAUAUGGAUACAUAUGAGUUUAAUUUCAGUCUUAAGUUAUUUGGUGGCACACUUUUUUUUUGUAGUUUUCAAUGGCCAGGUGUGUGUCAUCGGGUCGACAUAUAUGAUCAAGAUAGAGAUCAAGGAAACUGUAAACAAUGUAUUUAUAAAAUACAUGAAAAUGGACCUUUUAGAUAUGCACCAAAUAAUAAUACAUAUAUAAGGUUUCCAUGGAAACCAGAUGGAUGUUGAUUUUCUUGUUUUAAAUAUUUUGAAUGAUGAAUUAUAAGAACAUCAUUACCUUUGAUAAAUAAAUUUCUAUUGAAAUAAAAUUGAUGUUGAAAUAAGUGGUAUUAUUUUAUUUACUUUUUAUUUUGUCUUUUUUUAAGUUUUGGUUUAGAUUCGGUGAUCGUUUUUUCUAUUCUUCUUAAGAGUAACUUUUAGUUUUAUUUGGAUAAAGAAUUAUUUUUAUAAUUACAUUUAUUUAACGAGAAUAAUGUAAGAUUAAAUAUUAAUGUUAAAUACAAAUUUAAAAUUAUCACGAGCGUAUUAUUUAUGAUUUUUCAAACAAAUAAAGGUGAUAACGAGACGGAUAAGGAUAGAAUUUUGUGCUACUCAACCCACCACAUCUUAUAAUAAUCCGUAUAGAAUCUGCUCCAUUUUUAUUUGUGAAUAAUAAAAAAUUGAAUCAUAAUCUAUUCUCAUGGUCCAAAGGAUUUGAUGGUCCCAGGACGUUGGGACCAUUAAAUGGUCUCAUAACAAAAUAUUUUUUUAAGUUUUUUAAUAAUUACUAAAUAGUCCUUAUUUAAUUUUAAUUAUAAAUUAGUUUUUUAUAUAUUAUUUAAUUAUAAAAUCUAUUUUUUAUUUUAUAAAUUAUUUUUUUAUCAUUUAUCUAUCAUGUUUAUUGAGAAUCAAAAACUAAAACAAUAAUAAAUUAGAUCUUCCAUUAAUCGUAAUAAAUAUUUUACAAUCUUAAUGAUCAUAAUUUUAUCAUUGAUCCAAUUACAUAGGUAUUAGGUUGGAAAAAUCGUGUUUGUUAAAAAUUCAAUCAAUUGGAUGCACAAACCAAUCGAUUGAAAUUCAGGCUUUCCAAAUGGGAUUUUUGAAAAUUAUUAUUUUCGAAAAUUCCAUUUGAUGAUUGAAUUAACUAAACCCACAUUGCUUUGAUGAUUUCAAUCGAAUGGGUAAUAUGACCAAUCGAUUGAAUAAGAAAAAUCGCACAUGCCUUGCAAAAUUCAAUCAUUAAAGUUUGAGAAGCCUGAAUUUCAAUCAAUUAAUUUGUGCAUCCAAUCGAUUGAAUUUCUAAAAAACAUUAUAUAUUUUUUCAAUCCAAUACGUAUGUAACUAGAUUAAUGAUAAAAUUUUUAUUCUAAAUUUUUUAAUUAUUUUUAUUUGAAAAGAAAAUUUUGAAUUUAAAAAUAUAAAAAAAUUAAAAAUAAAUAAUUAAUUUGAAAAUAAACAAUUAAAAACAGAUAAUUAAUUGAAAAAUAAACAAUUAAUUAAAUUUUCUUUUUUAAAAGUAAUGUAUUGCUUACUUAAAAUAACUUUUUUAACAAAGUUCAAACGGGCAUUGAAUAUCCAUGUUUCCUAUUGUCCUUAAAACCAUGUUUUCUACUUAACUCCUUAAUUAGAACUAUAGAGAUAAUUGUGAUGGAAUUAACUUAACUAUUUUAAGAAAUUCCCAUCAUUGAUUAAUUAAUUAAUUAAUUGCAGGUUAUGAAGAUGACAAAACAAAGUCACUUCAGCCUACCUCUUCUGCUCUUGUAGCCUUUAAUUCUUUAUGCAAAUUCGUAUAAUCUUUGCCAUCAUAGACUCGGCCAUUGUGCCACAAAAACUCUAGUUUCUGUUAUGAAUAAGUGUAAUGUCCCUGUUGCUAUAAAUUCAAUAAAAUCUAGUUUGUGUGACUCAUGUUGCAAAGCUAAAAUGCAUGAUCUUCCCUUUUUUUUUUAGAUUCUUUUAAUUUUAUAGCAUUAGCACCUUUGAAAAUGAUUUAUUCUGAUUUGUGGGGACUUGCACCAAUUUGUUCUUAACAUGGCUUUAACUAUUUGUUGAUGCUUUCACCAGAUUCACUUCAGUUUUGUUAUUACAUUCAAAAAGUCAAGCUUUUCUUCAAUUUCAAACAAACAUUGGGACACAUACAGGUUUAAAAAUCAAAUCACUUCAAAGCGAUCAUGGCAGAGAGUACCUCUUUCAUUCAUUACUCACCGAUUCUCUUGCCUUUACACCCACCAGCAAAAUGGCAGCAUCUUGAAGUACAAGGUUCACCUUGUUACAAAGAGAAAUCAUCAGAUUGAGGGAGUGGAUUAUGACCAAUAGUGUUUGCACCUGUUCUUAAACAUAUUACUAUUAGAGUUCUUAUUACUUUAGCAAUGACUUAUAAGUGGAAAAUUUGUCAAUUUGACUUCAAUAAUGCUUUAAUUCGGGUACAUCUAUUCAGGUUUAUCAACUUCAAAAAUUUUCUUAUGGUUUAAAACACUAGAUACCUUUAGUUUUGUGAAAAUUAAAUCUGAUCAUUGCUUGUUUAUGAAACAUGAUGGCAAUCUAAAAUUAUAUAUUCUAGUAUAUGUAGAUGAUAUUUUGAUUACAUGAAGUGAUCCAAAUCCCAUUCUCCAUAGUCGCACAAAGCAUUUUGAGCUUGAUCUCAAUUUUAUUUAUGAAAGAGUUACCCAACAAAAGUUGAAUGUGGCGCUUAUAUCUCUGAUGAUCAAGUUGCUCAUAUAUUCACUAAGGCUUUGUCAAUGAUCAACUUUAAAAAAUUCAGAACAAAACUUAAUAAAAUAACUCUAAAGAAGUGACUUUAAGAUUGAGGGAGACUAAUAGAGCAAAUGAUUAAAGAAUUCAAGAUCAAAGAUCAAGAAGGAUUUGUUACCACUGUAGCUAGUAGUUUGUAACAGAUUAACAGCUUUGCAUUUCUAUAUAUUGUACUUGAUAUAGUUAUGAGAAAGAUAAGCUUACAUCACUACAACACUAUAUAUAAUCCCAUAUAUGAAUUUCAAUUUAGUUUCUGAUCCAUAUCGAAAUACUCGGCUUCCAUAAGCUUUGACCGAGUUUAACCAUAAACAGAAAAUGUCGGAUUUGAAUUCUCCAAACUAACCGAUAAUAGCUGAAUCUUCCAAACUUACUGAGAUAUAAGGGCACAACAGAAAAUAUCCAUAACAGCGCUACUAUCAAGGUCGGCAUAACGGCGAAAUCACUAAGCUUUUCCGUCUAUAUAAGUCACCUCCUAACCCCACUAGGGGACACUAUUCUGAUCCCAUCUCUUCUGAGCACUGAAGAAUAAUAAAGCACUUCAGCACACAUAAGACACCUAUUUUAUUUUCUUUUAAAGUAUUUGUUGUUAUCUUAGAAUAUUACUGACUUGGGCGUUGGAGUCCCUUUUGCAGGUUCCACGCCGACCUCAUCCCGGUUCCAAGGAGGACGUUCCGAGUAAUAGAAGGACCUCUCAGUCUGACCGUAGCUGAGUUAUAAGUCAGAAGCCACACUCCAGAGCGGAACAUUUCGGCGCCCACCGUGGGGCCCGAAUUAUAAGCAAUUAACCCCACAUUUCUCCUCUGCUUUCCUCCCUUUCUUUGUUUUGCAGGGCUCUCAUACCCUAUAUGGCGGACAACAGGGUAAAUCAACACACGCAGGCAGAACUAUUGGCCAUGAUAGCCGAGCUUCAGGCUGAGGUUAGGAAAGUGGCGGAGCAAUCCUCUAAAAAUACUGCCGAGAAUGGCUUAAACAAAAAAGGAGCUGACCCGUCGAGCAUAACGCCGUCCAAGGAAAGGCUCACGAUUGACAACCCUUUCUCACAGGAGGUCAUGAGCGUUCAGAUGCUGAAAAACUUCAUGCUCCCAAUCGGGCUAAAACCGUACGAAGGAAUCGGAGACCCUCGGGUGCACAUAAAAAAAUUUCAAUCCAUGAUGUUUUUUAAUGGUGCUUCUGACCCAGUGCUUUGCCGUUCUUUUCCUACUUAUUUAGAUGGUGCAGCUUUACUUUAGUUUUCCAAGAUUCCUGCAGGUUUAAUCUCCAGCUUCGAGGACCUGGCAAGGUUCUUCAUUGACUAUUUUGCAGCUUCCCGGAUAUAUGUCCACGGAACUGAUUAUCUCAGCACCAUCAAGCAAGGACAACACGAGAGUCUGAAGGACUACAUGACAAGAUUCGCCAAGGCAACAGUGGAGAUACCUGACCUCGAUCCAAAUGUGCACCUCCACGCACUCAAAAGCGGUCUCAGACCAGGCAAAUUCCAGGAGACAAUAGAUGUAACCAAAACUAAAACUCUGGAGGAGUUUCGCGAAAAAGUGGCAGGACAAAUGAAAAUCGAAGAGCUCAGGGAAGCCUGGAGGACAGACAAACCUCAAGCUCGCCGAGAAGACGAAAGGCAUAACAGAACCCCCAAUCAGAGAGAUAACAGAAAGCCUUUCAAACUAACACCCAAGUAUGACACCUACACUCAGUUCAACACGAAGACUGAAGACAUAAUCAAGGAAAUACUGAGUGCAAAAAUAAUCAAACCACCCAGCCGAGCAGGAGCCUACCAAGACUAGAGAUACGUCGACAAGUCAAAGCACUGUGCGUUCCAUCAAAAUUUGGCCACACAACCGAUGAAUGCGUCAUCGCUAAGGACCUCCUUGAAUGGCUAGCCAGACAAGGACACCUUGACAAAUACAUCGGCGGCAGAAUGAAGCCAGCUCGGCAAAAUACCAACGAUCCGCAAACUGAACAAAGGUCAAUCGAAAAAGCCAAACCUCCGCCACCACCAACCAGAGGAGUCAUAAACUGCAUCUCCAGAGGAUUUGCAGGAGGAGGACACAAACUCGGCCAGAAAGCGCAACUACAGAACCAUGUUAAUGGUAGAGGCGACAAAGGGAACAGGCACACCCUAAUAAUCUUCACCUCGCAUUACCUUCGAACAAUCUGAUUAUCAAGCACCAACACCAAACCUAGACGACCCAGUGAUUAUUUCGGUCCAGACGGGAGAUCUCCUCGUCAAGAAAGUGUUGCUCGACCCAGGCAGCAGCGCAGAUGUGCUUUUCUAUUCUACAUUCCAAAAAAUGAAAAUAAGCACAAAUAUGUUACAGCCAUACAUGGGGGAACUGGUCGGUUUCCCAGGAGAACAAGUCUCUAUCUUAGGAAGCGUCUGGUUGAAGAUAACCUUAGGAGAACACCCACUUCGCCAAACACAAGAUGUGCAAUUCCUAGUAGUCAAAUGCCCCAGUCCAUACAAUAUGAUCUUGGGUAGACCGUCUUUAAAUUCCUUUUUUUCUAUAAUUUCAAUUGUCCACCUUUGUGUAAAAUUUUAGGUAUCCAGCAGUACAACGGCGACAAUAAAUUCUGAUCAAACACAAGCUCGCAGGUGCUACAAUGAGAGCCUAAAGAACAAGCCAACAAGCAGCUAUAAGAAUAACAAAUCAGAGGAACCUCAUCAAGUGGCUAACAUCUCACCAAUGGCCGAGUUAGAUCCUCGGGAAGACCAAAAAAAUAGACCUUCACCAACCGAUGACCUCGAGCAGGUACUUUUAGACAAUAAUCAUAGCCAUAUAACUUACAUCAGUCACUCACUUCCCGCAGGCACCAAGCAACAAAUCAUCAGCAUACUUCGAAAUAAUGCUGACCUCUUCGCAUGGACCCUAGCAGAUAUGCCUGGCAUCGAUCCCGACCUAAUAUGCCACAAACUACAAAUAGACCCAAAGAUAUGACCUAUAGCUCAGAAAAAGAGAAACAUGAGCAAUGAAAAAAGGUCAGCCUGUCAAGAGGAAACACAGAAGCUACUUCAAGAAGGGUUCAUACGGGAACUCAGAUUUACAACAUGGCUCUCAAAUGUGGUAAUGGUAAGAAAACCCUCAGGUAAAUAGUGCAUGUGUGUUGAUUUCACAAAUCUAAAUAAAGCAUGUCCAAAGGAUGCAUACCCCCUCCCUUGCAUUGAUAAAUUAGUUGAUAAUGCAUCAGGAUACAAUACUCUAAGUUUUUUAGAUGCAUACUCAGGGUAUAAUCAAAUACUAAUGCACCAUAAAGACCAGGAUAAAACAGCAUUUAUAACUGAAUUGGGAAAUUACUGUUAUAAGGUUAUGCCUUUCAGCCUUAAGAAUGCAGGUGCCACGUAUCAACGACUAAUGGACAAAGUGUUCAAAGACCAAAUUGGAAGAAAUUUAGAAGCCUACAUUGAUGAUAUGGUUGUAAAAACAGAAUAGCAACAACAUCACGAAAAUGACUUGGAAGAAAUAUUCGAACAAGUCAGAAAGAACAACAUGCGACUCAACCCGGAAAAAUGCGCAUUCGGAGUAACCGAGGAAAGUUCCUUGGGUUCUUGCUAACAUACAGAGGCAUCAAAGCAAACCCAGAAAAGUGCAAGGCAAUACAAAUGCGAAGUCUCCAAACAGUAAAGAAAGUCCAGCAGUUAAAUGGCAGACUAGCCGCAUUGUCCAGAUUCCUCCCUUCAAUCUCAACACAAUCUCAACACUUUUACAAUAUACUUAAGAAACAAACAAGGUUCAACUGGAACAACGAGUGUGAAACAGCUUUCCAGAAGCUAAAAGCAACCCUAUCCUCUCCUCCAGUCUUACAAAAACCCAACCCAGGUAAGCCCCUAUUAAUAUAUUUAUCUGUUACUACUAACGCCAUAAGCUCGGCAUUAAUGACAGAAAUAAACGAAAAACAAGAGCCUGUGUAUUUUGUGAGAAAAACACUACAAAAUGCCGAACUAAGAUACUCUUCAAUGGAAAAGCUAGCAUACGCAAUGGUAAUCUCAGCAAGAAGGCUAAGGCACUAUUUUCAAAGCAACAAAAUCAUAGUAAAAACUAAUCAGCCUCUACGUCAAAUCCUAACACGACCAGAGGUAUUCGGAAGACUAGUCAAGUGGUCCAUCGAACUCUCCGAGUUCGACAUCGACUAUGAACCAAGAACAGCCAUGAAAGCGCAAAUAUUAGCCGACUUUGUGGCCGAGCUAUCAGAACAACCGAAGCAACAACAUACAUGGGAGCGAUAUGUCGACGACGCUUCCAAUAACGAAGGUUCUGGAGCAGGGGUAUUACUCACCAACAAGGAGGACUUACAAGUCGAGUAAUCCAUCAGAUUCACAUUCCAGACAAGCAAUAAUCAAGCCGAAUACGAAGCACUGCUCACCGGACUAAGGCUGGCGCAAUCUCUUAACAUUACCCACCUACAAGUAUACUGCGACUCGCAACUCGUAGUGCAGCAGAUAACAGGCCACUUUCAGGUAAAAGAUCAGCUACUAGAAAAAUACCACAGCUCAGUAAAUGAGCUCCUCACACACUUUCAUUUUAUACAAAUCACACACAUAACUCGGGAGCAUAACACCCGAGCAGAUGCACUCUCAAAAUUAGCAACAACCAAAAAGCUUGUAACUGAUUCUAUUAUAUCUCAACUAACACUCACCAAUCCAAGCUUUAGUAUCAAAUCAAUAUUUUCAGUAGCCAAGGAAGAAGACUGGAGGGUGCCAUACAAGCAAUAGAUACAAUCAGGAAGGAUCCCUCUAACAACACCAGAGACCAAAACAUUUAAAAGACGUGCAGCAUCCUUCACUAUGAUUGGAAACAAGUUAUACAGAAGAGGGUUCUCCCAACCCCUUUUAAAAUGUAUAAACAAAGAAGAGGCCGAAGACGCUAUGAACGAAGCCCAUGAAGGGGUAUGUGGCAACCACAUAGGAGACCUAAGCCUAGCAUCCAAAAUAGCAAGAGUAGGAUUUUACUGGCCAUCCAUGAAAAAAGAUUGCAUCAAUAAAGUCAAAAAAUGCGACAGCUGCCAAAAGCAUAGCUCGGCCAUCCACAACCCGACAGAGCAAUUGCACAUCUCGGAGGUAAGCUGGCCCUUCCAAAAAUGGGGGCUAGAUAUCUUCGGCCCUUUUUCAAAAGCACCAGGACAAGUAAAAUACUUACUUGUAGCAAUAAAUUACUUCUCCAAAUGGAUAGAGGCAACUCCAUUAGCAAAAAUAGGAGCUGAUAAAGUAAGAUCUUUCAUUUGGAAACACAUCAUUUGUCGCUUUGGUAUACCACAUCAUAUUAUCACUGACAAUAGUCGGCAGCUCACCGACCAAAGUUUAGCUUCUUUUUUAAAUAAAUUCCAGAUAAAAAACUAUUUUUCAUCAGUGGAACACCCACAGACCAACGGGCUCGCAGAGGCCGCCAACAAGGUCAUUCUCAACUCUCUUAAGAAAAAACUUGGCAAUGCAAAAGGAGAAUGGGCCGAGUUAAUACCAGAGGUACUCUGGGGUUAUAACAUAACAAUUCAAUCCACAACACAAGAAACACCGUUCAGACUGGUAUAUGGAGCAGAUGCCAUGAUCCCAGUUGAGGUCUCAAUAACGUCAACACGUAGAAAUCAAAUAUCGACCGAACAAAAUGACAACAUCAGACGGACAGAGCUCGACACGAUCGACGAAGACAGAGAGAAAGCCUGAAUAAAACAACUCGCAAUGCAACAAAUAAUUAGAAGAAAAUAUAACAAGAAAGUACAACCAAGAGCAUUCCACGAACAGGACCUCGUCCUCAGAAAAACAAAGGAAGCAAGAAGACAACAUACACAUGGCAAACUAGCAGCUUCAUGGGAAGGACCCUACCAAGUUCUCAAAUUACUCGGAAAAGGAGCAUACAAACUACAGACACUAGAAGGUGAAGAAGUCCCAGGAAUCUGGAACAUUUCCUCUUUGAAGUCUUACUUAUUAUAGAAAUGAUAUGGACAAGAGGAGAUACUCUUUUUCCUACCCCCAGGAUUUUCCCCACAUAGGGUUUUGUCUGGGAGAGGUUUUAAUGAGGUCCCUCACACCCAUAUCAACAACAUGUACAAACCAUUCAUAUAUAUAACAAAACAACAUUGUCAAAUCCAUUCAUUCAAAACUCAAACAAAAGUACAAACAUGCUCUACCAAACCAUAACAAAAUCAACCACACAUUAUCCAGUGUUCCAAAAGAAAGCAAAAAGCUUUACAAAAAACAAACUAAAACAUAAUAACUUCUUCAAUCUACUUUCUCAACAGAAGCACUCCCAUUCCCCUUAUCAGACAGAGCUUCAUCAUCGAGCGACUGACCAUUACUAGCAAUUUUUGUAACAUCUAAUUACUAACAUCAAAAGAGGGAGAUAACACUCCUAUCUGAGCUACAGCACGAUCAAACCCAAGAGUAAAGGCUGACAAAACCUCCUCCUGCAGCUCAGGAAUCUGAGCAUUCGCCUUUUCAGCCUCUUCAACUUUUGACUCAAGAUCUCGCUAACUUUCUGAAGCUCAGACUCAACAUUCUUUACCUUCUCCUUCAAACCCCUAACUUCAGUUUUUAACUUCUCAGCCCGAGCAUCCCUCUCCUCCAAAGACUCUUUCAGCUUCUUAAUUGCAGCAACCUGAUCACCCUCCAAGAUAGCAUCCAACUCCGAAGUCUGACCAAUAGAAAGAAGCCUAGCCCCAAUCACCUACGAAAAAAGGAAUCAUCACAAACCAGUAUUUACAAUAGCAAAAAGACAAAGCACACUAGAAAAUAUACCUGCAAAUAGCGAGCAACCCCAACCUUUCCUGCAUCAUGAAUUAUCUUAACAUCAGAAUCCACCUGAGCAACCUCGUCAGCCACGGCCAUAAAAAGAUACCCAGAGGACCACAGAGAGUUACGAGGACCUUCCCUAUAACCAUGAAGAACCACCUGACUCUCAUAAGCAGCACUUAUCUCCUCAGGAGUAAAAAUGGCAGAACUAUCUCUCGUAGCAGUAAGGUCAACAAUUUUUGGUGAACCAUCACCUCUCUUCCUCUUAAAGCUUCCGUCAAGCUUCCCAACACCUCCCUCACCUUCUUUAACUACAUUGGUAGAGGAUCCCUCCUUUUCUUUCUUUCUGUUCUUCGAAACAAAAGCUUUCAAAUUCGCCGUAGUGAGCAUGGAAGUUUUCUCACCUACACAAAAAACACAGAAACCAUAUAAGAUAAAAAUACCAAACCCAAACCACAGCUCAAACCACACAACCUACAGGUUACCUAGAUACUCCUCCAACGCCUCCUUAUUCCCUUUAAGCUCUAGAAGAGUAGACGUAGAAAGUAAAGAAGACGACGACAUUGCAGACAUCAAAAAAUUUAACAACAAAUCUUCGCUAGAAACCCUAUUUUCGCAAUCUAAAACCUGUUUGGGCUUGGGAGACCAAAAAACCAGAAAUCUCUCCUCAAGCAACGAGUCCAAAAAGAAGGGAUAAAAACCUUCAACAAUCUGAACUUUAACAAACAUUUCUUUAAAAUCUUUGAAAGAUUGUUUGUAUAAAGUGAAAAUCCCAUGACCUGGAUGACCACUCAAAUUCACCUACCCACCUCUACGAACACCCUUAGCUUGGAACAAAGAGAAAAAUAAACCAAGUGAAGGAUAACAUUCCAAAUAAUCCAUCAGACAUUCGAAAGCUCUAACAAACACCCAGGAAUUUGGGUGCAAUUGUGUCGGAGCACAGUUUAACACCCCCCCGAGAUAUGCUUCAACAGGAAUCACACAGGGGUAGAUUGAUACAAUAGAAACCUCUGGUAAAAUGCCCACCCGUAACCCGAUAAAGUACAUAUGCGCCAACCGAAACCAGGCGUUGAGCUCAUCCUCGAUGCAGUGAAAAGCUGACACCUUCCUCAGCCGCUUUUGAUCGGCCCUAAAUAAAAUCCUUGCCCUUGUUCGAUAGAAGAAUCUGGAGCGGAUUUCCGAUAGUAAACAAAUUCUCUAUGGUGGAACAGGAUAUCUUUUAUUUUUUCCUCGAGUAAAUUCUUUUUUUUCGGAGCAAUCUUAAUAAGUUGUCUUUGCUUUGAAGGCUGUGUUACCCUUUUGAAUCCGGUAGACGAUGUUUGUAUCGCCGACGAGAAUGUGGCCUGGCCUCUCUUCUUUAUCGCCAGACAGUAAAUGAUCUAGGUCUCGCAAUAAGAAAAGAUGUAAAACUCCACACUCGAAGUCAGUAAAAGGAAAACGUAUACCAAGUUCAGUCAACAAACAUGUAACACUCUACAAUACAGAGUCUUAUGCUUAAGUCAUAAUUCAGAGAUGGCAAGGUAUUACGACCUCAAAAAUAAAAAUAUAGUACGUAUAGUAGUAUGAAUGAUUGAUUAUAACUAGGAGCCUUUGUAGAAAAAGGGGUAAACAAAAAUCGCAACUCGAAAGCGCAACACUCCGAUCGAUAACGUAACGAACAAGGAUAACCAACGCGAGAUUAUAUAUAUACAAAGGAGUGUCAAAAACAGGAAUAUCAAGACUCAAAAUCCGGCUGCGAAGAUAACCGGUCCGAGCAUAGCAAUAUAUACAUAUGAUAAAAUAAGGAAAAACCCCAAAGGAAACCCAAAGGGACACAAAUACAUAAAACCUAUUCUCCAAAAUCUCCCAUAAGAGGAGUCAUUACAGUUUGUAUUAUUUAAAGGAGAUAAAAGUAUCUAAGCAAAACAUAUAAACCAAAAUAUAGUCCUGAGAACAAAGGAUCUUCGCAAAUCUAGAAGUCUCCAGCAUGCCUCAGCGGGAAACCUCACGUCCUACAUCUGAAAACCACAAAAUCCGAAUAGGUGAGAACUAGAGGUCCCCAGCAUGGUAACAUCUUCCACAUAUAUAAUACAUAAUAAUAGAGGAACGCCGAAGGCAAUCCUAGAACUUCCUCUAGAUAAAAAUCAAAGCUUAUAAACAAGCUAAACCAUAAAAGGGCAUCUGACUAAAGAUUCUUCAGUCUAACUAAUACUUCCCUUUCCAAUUCCUUCAAACCUCCCAACCACCAGCAGGAGUAUAAUGUAGCAAACACAGUUAUAUCAAACAAGAAAUAUACAAAUAGGAACAAUUAAGGUAUUUAGAUAAUUACCAAAUAAUAUGCAGUCAAUUAGGCAAUCUCGAACAAUUCAUAUAGUAUGCAUAUGAUGAAUGCCUGUCCCUAGUGGCUGAUGAUAUCAUCUGUCAGUUAUAGAGCCAACCCGACAAGUCCUGGUAGCUAACCAUUGGACUGUCCCUCUGUCACGCAUCCCCAACUCGAGUUAUACUCAUCAUAAACUUGAUCAUAAUCAUGAUCCAUAUCCAUCACCUUCACUGGUGAAUAUUUACGGGGGCGAGCUCAUCCAGGUCUUUCACAGUGCCCGGCCACACUUAUGACAUAGGGUCAAAAGAGCUUCGAGUCUCAACCUGGAGCACGUGGUGGCUGGCCACUGCUUCCUCCCAGGGAAACUCUCAUCUCCAACAGUGGAAGUGCAACAUUCACAAUUCAUUCAACAGCAUAUAUGCAUUUAUACAUAGCCAUAAUCAUGGCUCCGCCGUAACACGGCAAUAAUCUAGCCAUCCGGCUCACGGUUAAAUCCAUAACCAGCCAAUUCAUUAACAAUUACGGCCCUUCGGCCCAUGGCAUAACAAGCACUUCUACCACCAUCCUCCGCCUCUCACAUAAUCAUCUUUGAUCCUCAUUGAUCAUUUAUUUUUUCCUUGCUUCACUCGCAAGUUACCACAUUCACUAGCCCUUCUUCUCAUAGCUAGACAUGUCAUAAUGAUUUAAGACAUAAGUGGUGAGAUCGGAGGCUUAGAAGUAUGAAAUUUGGCUUUUAAAACUCAAAAAUCAACUUUGGGAUGAAAACAGGGCCACACGUACGCGUACUCCACGUGCAUACGUGGAUGGCCUCGAAAACUCAUCGACGCGUAUGCGUCAUGCACGCUAACGCGUGGAUUGAAAAUUAGCCAAGUGACGCGCACGCGUCGCCCACGCGUACGCGUGGGUGCUCUCGUGCCCUAGGCACAAAACUAGCACAGUUCUGGCACAACUCUCUGGCAAAUUGGCUGGGCAUUGGGUGUAGCACAUCGGCGCGCCCGUGCAGACCACGCGCACGCGUGGAUGGCGUUUUCCAGAAGAACGGCGCGUACGCGCCAAGUGCGCCUACACACAAGGGGUCAUUCUGCUAAAAAUUUUUCUAAGUUAAAAGCUGCAGAAUUCACAGAUUUAAACCCCAAUCUUCCAACGGACAUAACUUUCUAAUUUUAAAUCAUUUUUCACCCGUUCUUCGAACGGCAUGGACAUCCCGGAUCUAAUUUCAUUUCUAAACAGAUUUGGCACAAAAUGUAGAUCCGUAGUCCAAGUUAUGUCCCAUCAAAGUAUGCCCAAAAACCAUAUUUUCAUACAAAACCACAACAUGCCAUUUUCAAAACAAGCCAUUUUCAAGUUUUAUCAAAAUCAAUCAAAACAUGCCAAUUUCAUCCCUUUUCUUUGAAAUCAAUCAAAAUAUAUCAAAUUCAACAUCAAGCCUCCUCAACUCACACAUUGAGACUUUACCGCAAUUUACCAAAAUCACUAUCUCAUCAUUUUAACCCACUUCACCCAAGUGGCUCAAAUUCAAACAUAUUGACAUAUCAUAUACUCUUCCUCAUGCCAAUUCUCAACAACACCAAUUCCAAUAAAUCAUCAUUAUACACAAUUAAUAUCAUACUCACCAUCAACAUGGUUCAACCCACAAUUCAACCAUAACCAAUCAUCAAGCAUAUAUCACAACAUACAUAUUUCUCAUACAUCAUACCAUCAAGGCAUCAUUAAUCAUCAUCACAUAUAUGACCACAUCACAUAUUUCAACCAUUCAACAAUAUCAACAAUUCAAUGCCUAUCUUAGGGCCUCUAGCCUAAGUAUUUCCUACCACAUUACAUAUUAGAUACGGGAAACCGAGACCAUACCUUAGCCGAUUUCCCAAGCUCAACCGGAGCACUUCCAAACCACUUUUUCUUCAAGCUCUCAAGGUCUCAACACCUUCAAGAAUAGAUUUUUCACCACCAAAUCCCUUUUUAAGCUUUCCAAAAUCACCAAUCAAGCUCCAAUAUUCACACAUACACAACUUAAGCCACAAUCAUCAUACCCAUACACAACAUCUCAAAACCCAAACAUCAUAGAACAACAAAAUUACACUAGGGUUGAGAAUCUUACCACACCCAAGGUCCAAGGAGAUAAGAUUAACCUUCUCCUUCAAGAGAGUUGGGUCCUAUAACAUCAAAGAGCCCAAAAUCUCAACAUUUUUGCUCAUAAAACUCGAAAACAAGGCUGGAAAUUCGAAGAGAAAAACGUGGCUUACCUCAAGAUUAAUUGUAUGGGUUUUGUAGAGCUCUCCGCGGUGAAUGCGUGGCCGCAAAUGGAGCGGCAAUCGGAGCUCUAGAUCAAAAGUUAUGGUAGUUUAAAGAUCAAGUGAGAGAUAGAAGUUGAGAGAGUGUUCUUCCCUCUUCCAUCUCAAUUUUCAGCGUGUUUUGGUGUUGUGUGAGGAGAGAGAGUACUGAAAACUAGGGUUUUGGUUUAGUUAUGUUGGGCCAAGGGCCCACUUUGGGUUUGAUUGGCCCGGUUUGGCCCGUUCGGUCCAAUCUUGGUCCGAAUUCUAUAAAAUUGGUACUGAAAUUCUCGUAUCAAUCUCCUCUAUCAUAUUUAGCCAUAAAAACCACAUUUUUGGCUUUCUAUAAUAAAUUCUCAUUUAUAGGUUAAUUAGCCGUUAAUUAACAGGGUUUUACAUUCUACCCACCUAAUUGGGAAUUUCGCCUACAAAAUUCAAAUGCAAUUACCUGAGAAUAAAUGCGAAUAAUCCGUUCGCAUCUCCGACUCAAGUUCCCAAGUGUGUUCCUCAACACCGUCUCGACUCCAAGCCACUUUGACUAAUGAAACCUCUUUUUUCACGCAACCGUUUGAUACUAGUAUCAUUAAUUCUGACCGGAGCUACUAGAAGCGUCAAAUCUUCCCUUAACUGAACCGACUCAGGUUCUAACACAUGGCUAGCAUCUGGAGUGUACUUCCGAAGCUGCGACACGUGAAACACGUCGUGCAGGUUUGAAAGAUGAGGUGGUAGAGCCAUCCGAUACGCCACCGGUCCAAUCCUCUCCAGGAUCUAAAAUGGACCAAUGUAUCGAGGAUUCAACUUCUUUGUUUUAAUCGCCCUACCUACUCCCGUGGUCGGAGUAACCUUAAGGAAAACAUGGUCUCCUUCCUCAAAUUCUAAGGGCCUUCGCCUCUGAUCGGCGUAACUCUUUUGACGACUCUGCGCCGUAAGCAUGCUAUCUCGGAUUUUCUUGACUUGUUCAGUAGUCUCAGCUAUCAUUUCCGGUCCCAACAAGCUUUUCUCUCCAGCUUCAUACCAACAUAGCGGAGAUUAACAUUUCCUCCCAUACAAGGCCUCAUACGGAGCCAUUCCGAUGCUCGCAUGAUAACUAUUAUUGUAUGCAAACUCCACUAAUGGCAUAUACCGAUCCCAACUCGCCGGUUGGUCCAAAACACAAGCUCUCAACAUAUCCUCUAGUGUUUGGAUCGUCCUCUCAGAUUGACCAUCUAUUUGAGGAUGGUAAGCCGUGCUCAAGAUUAGUCGAGUUCCAAAAGCUUUCUGAAAUGCACCCCAAAACCUUGAAGUGAAACGAGGAUCUCUAUCAGAGAUUAUAGUAGCGGGUACACCAUGAAGUCUCACAAUCUCCUUUAUGUAUAACCGUGCUAGCUCCUCAAGGGUGUAAGUCAUCCGAAUGGGUAAAAAGUGAGCUGACUUCGUCAGUCGGUCCACAAUCACCCAAACAGCAUCAAAACCAGCCCUAGUCCUUGGCAAUCCUGACACAAAGUCUAUUGCAAUACUUUCCCACUUCCAUUGUGGAAUCUCUAAAGGUUGCAACAUCCCGGAAGGUCUUUGAUGUUCAAUCUUUACCUUUUGACAAGUUAAGCACUUUGAUACAUAUUCCACCACAUCAUUCUUCAUACCCGGCCACCAGAACAUCGCCUUUAAAUCAUGGUACAUCUUAGUACUUCCCGGGUGAAUGGAGAAUCCGCUUUUGUGUGCCUCCUUUAAGAUAUCUUGCCUCAAAGUGCCAACAUCCGGCACAAUGAUCCUACCCUUGAACCUCCAUAACCCAUCUUUUUCUUCCGACACUCUCCACUGUUUUUCUUGCUCAAUAGCCGGUAACACCUUCCAUAACGCUUCAUCAUUUUGAUGAGCCUUUAGGAGUUUGGACUUAAAGUCACUUGAGAUUUCUAGUCGACUCAAACACAAGGUUCCGGAUACUUCUCGAGCACCAAUUUUCAGACUCUCAAAUCCAUUGAGCAACUUCUCCUCUUGGAGCAUCAUCCAAGCCGCAUAUAACGACUUCUAACUUAACACAUCCGCCACUACGUUCACCUUUCCCGGAUGGUAAUGCAACUCAAAGUCGUAGUCCUUCAAUAAUUCCAUCCACCUCCGCUGCCUAUUGUUAAGCUCUUUCUGAUCAAAGAGGUACUUCAAGCUCUUAUGAUCAGAGAAAACUUGGAACUUAACCCCAUAGAGAUAAUGCCUCCACACCUUCAAGGCAAACACAACCGCAGCGAGUUCCAAAUCGUGCGUAGGGUAACUAACUUCGUGAGGUCUCAACUAUCGUGAGGCAUACGCCACCACAUUAUGAUGUUGCAUCAGCACGCACCCUAGACCCUUCAAUGAGGCAUCACAAUACACCUCAAAAGGCUCGUUUGGCUCAGGUAACACUAACACAGGUGCAGUGGUCAACUUUUUCUUCAAUGCCUGAAAGCUCUCCUCGCACUCAGGAGUCCAAACAAACGGAGUGUCUUUGCGGGUUAACUUUGUCAUUGGCAAAGCUAUCUAUGAAAAGCCCUUGAUAAACCUUCGGUAAUAGCUAGUUAAGCCCAGAAAACUCCUUAUCUUCGUUACGGUGGUUGGUUGCUUCCAAUCCAUCACAGCCUCCACCUUAGUUGGAUCUACGGCUAUUCCCUUUUUACUCACUACAUGCCCCCAAAAACUUCACCUCACUCUUCCAGAACUCACACUUAGACAGUUUCGCAUAGAGUUUCUUCUCCUUUAGAAUCUGCAACACGGUCCUCAAGUGUUCCGCAUGCUCUUCUUCAGUCUUGGAGUAAAUCAGUAUGUCAUCAAUGAAGACAACAACAAAUUUAUCCAGAAACGGAUGGAAAACUCUAUUCAUAUAAUCCAUGAAUACCGCAGGAGCGUUCGUCAACCCAAAGGACAUUACAGUGUACUCGUAAUGACCAUAACGAGUCCUAAAAGCGGUCUUAGGGAUAUCCUCACCCCUCACCCUUAUCUGGUGAUAAUCGGAUCACAAAUCGAUCUUGGAGAAAACUCCAGCUCCUUGUAACUGAUCCAUGAGAUCAUCAAUUCUCGGCAAUGGGUACUUAUUCUUUAUUGUAACCUUGUUCAGCUGCCUGUAAUCCACACAGAGCCACAUACUCACAUCCUUCUUCUUUACCAGUAGCACUGGCGCACCCCACGGAGAGACACUUGGUAGUAUAAAAUUCUUUCCCAACAAAUCCUCUAACUGAGACUUUAGCUCGUUCAUCUCUAACAGUGACAUCCUAUACCUGCACUUGAGAUUGGGCCUGCCCCAGGCACCAAUUCAAUAGCAAACUCAACCUCUCGGUUAGGUGAAAACUCAUCAAUAUUAUCGGGAAACACUUCUGGAAACUCACACACAACCGGAAUCUGCUCCAACCUUUGAUCAUCACCCGAAACACCCGCGGUUAACAAUAGGAUACCCUGACAUUCGGUUCCGGAACAGUUCACCAUCAUCAAAUUCAAGUAAUAAUUAUUCACCACGACCGGCGCUUCUGUAUCUUCCGGCAUAAAGUAUACCAACUUUGUAGAACAAUCAAGCAGAACAUGGUUCUUAGAUAACCAGUCCAAUCCCAAGAUAAGAUCAAGACCAAUCAUCGGUAAGCAGACUAAAUUAUGAACAAAAUCACGCUGCUUGAACCUAAAGGAAACUUCCGGGCAUCCUAGCCUAGUCACCAUGGCUUCAUGGGUAGCAUUAUACACUCUUAGAUCAUAACCUAAGGUUACAAUCUUCAAUCUUAACUCAUGGGCUUUCUCAAAUGCAAUGAAUGAAUGUGAUGCUCCCGAAUCAAAUAAAGCAUUUAAAGUUUGACCAGCCAUUUCACAGUUACCUCGAAUAAGUGUCUCAGAUCCCUCGGCACCUAUAGCUGAGGUGGUGAACACCCGACCAGUCUGUUGUGCUUUCCCAACACCUUGUUUCUGCUUCUCCGGACAGCUUGCGGCUUUAUGCCCCGCCUUUCCACAAUUGUAGCACAAACCCCAUCCGGCCUUGCAUGGUGCUCCCGGAUGGUGACUUCCACAUCUAGUACAAGCUUGAUCAUUCUGAGGCUGCUUUCCAAACUUCUUCCCUUGGGAGUUGUUGUUGUUGGGCCUCCUAAAAGAGUUUUCCCUCUUGAAAGGCGGACUUCUAGGUGCAAAGCUCUUCCCUCGGUUCUGUGGGAAUGAUCCUUUGUGACUCCCUUUCUCAGCGGUUGCCCUUUUUACACACUCUUCAGCAACCCUACACUUGUUUACCAACUCGGAAAAAGUCCUAAUCUCCAUUGGUCCCACUAAACUGAAAAUAUCGCUCCGGAGUCCUCCUUCAUACUUAACACACUUACAUUCCUCAUAUUCCACCGGAGUCCCUUGGCACAUACGAGAGAACCUGAACAGCUCCUCAAACUUGUCAGUAUACUCUGAUAUGGACAUGGUACCCUUCUUCAGCUGCAGUAACUCAAGUUCCUUAGCCGUCCUGGCAGAAGUCAGAAAGUACUUCUUAUAGAACUCCUCUUGGAAGACAUUCCAGGUGAUAUACUCAUCACCCUGCUAUAGAAGACGUCGGAUACCUUGCCACCAAUGCGACGCUUCACCGGUGAGCAUAUAGGUAGCAAACUCGACACGCUGUCCUUCAGGUACCACUUGUGCUUGCAGUGCUCGCUCUAUAGCCUGAAACCAUGUAUCAGCCUCAGUCGGACUAGCAGUUCCCUUGAACUUAGGUGGAUUAACUUUCAAAAAGUCUGCCAGUGUCAUCGGGCCCUGAACUCCACCUCCAUCAUUACCAUGGUUGUUCAUCUGUUGACCAAGAGCCUCAACAGUGGCUUGCAUAGCAGCAACCAUGUUCUCCAACGCAGUCAUAAAGUUCACCGGGUCAUUAGGGUUAUUCUCCGGCGCAUGAGCAUUCGUACGACCUCUCACACUACCUCUACCGCGUCCACGAGGCGCCAUCUGGUUCCUAUACACACCAAACAAUCGAUAUUAAGUUGAUCAGUCUCAAUAUCGGAAGUCUAGUACUUCAAGGUCCCAAAUGUAAGCUCAUGAAUGUUUAUGCCAAUUAUAUCAAGCAGAUAUACUAAUAGCACAUAACACACACACAGAGAAUGCACAGAAGCAUAGUCAGUCCAUCCCUCAGGCUCUACAGGAACGAACUGCACUGAUACCAUAAUGUAACACCCUACCAUACAGAGUCUUAUGCUUAAGUCAUAAUUCAGAGAUGGCAAGGUAUUUGAUAAACCCAUAUUUCAUGAGUUCUUUUGUGCUUAAUUAGAGUGAUUUAUUCAACUCUUCACCUACUUAUUCACAUUAAUUGCAUAGUUUUACUUUCCCUUCCUUAUUAUGUCAAAGGUUGAUUGCUUGGUUUAGUAACUAUACUUACAACGAGAGUUUUUAUAACCUCUAAACCAUCAAUCCACAGUUCUUCAAAAUGGCGCCGUUGCCGGGGAACUGCUAACGUGUGCCUUAUUAUUGGUUAUUGUAAAUAUUUUUCUUUUGCUUGUUUAAUAAUUGUUGUUUUUCCUUUUUCUCUUUAUUUGCUACUAUGAACUCUCACCCCUCUCGCUUUGAGUUUGGUUCUAAUAUUGUUAAAGGAAAUAGAAGUUAUAGCAAGAAUGUGCAUCAAGGUCAGACCAAUCAAGGAUGGAUGAAACCAAGAGGAUCUAAUCAAACCNNNNNNNNNNNNNNNNNNNNNCCUUACCCCAAUACCAAUCCAAGCGUUCCCAAUCAUCACCACUUUCCUUUGUAUCAUGUCCAAGUCUGGCAAACCGCGAAGCAAAGGAUCGCCUAAAAGAAACAAUGAUUAAAUUUCAAACAACCGUUCAACAACUGGAGCAAGCACUAAUUCAAUGGGCCACUAUGCGCUCAAAUAUACAAGGAUCAACCACAGCUCCGUGUGGACAGCCCGAUGAAGAGCGUAGCAUGAAAGAAAUACUAGAGACUCCAGUGGACAAGACAGAGAAUGAAUUCGUACUAGAACAAGUGGAAGAAGCUGUCAUUGUUCAAGAAGAAGAAUUGGUUGAAGAUCUAGGCAAUGCUGAACUUCCUUGGGAAUCCAGAAUUGAGGAAAACUCCGUUCAAGAUGCCACAGUUGAUGCUAAGGAGGAUACCGUACAAUCUCCAAGGCAAGUCGUUUACGAAGAAUCAGACGGAAUAAUCCAAGAAGCAAUUUUCCUUGAUGAUGAUAGUCACAAGUCUAGUUCUCCUAGUGAUGAACUUGCAUCCGCAAGUGAAUUCUCUAAGAUCGAAGAAUCUUCCCCAAGUGAAUAUGAAGAUGAUGCGGAGGUAGAUUUCUCUCAACCUCCAAUAUAUGACUCGAGUGAUGAGGAAGACAUAGAAGACUUUGACCAGGAUACAGAUACAAUUGAAGAUCUUUGCAAGGAAGUGGAAGAACUCACAGAAGAGCACAAGGAAACGGGACUUGCUGAACCACCAAAAACACCUAUCCCACGGCCAUUACCACCUAAUACAAGCUUCAAGUGGGUACAAUCCUUAACUUAUAAUUUUACUUAUUCACUUGAUUAUGGUUUGCUUGAAACAGAUGGCCAGCUUAGAGCUCUUUGCGGCUUUAAGAGUAAGAGGGAAUUGGCUCGUACUCAGAACUGGUACACCAGGUUCAAUAAGGUUCCACACUUUACCUCGAAGUACACGGAUUGGUAUCAUGCUCAAUUGCACGGAUCACAGAGAACGUUUGGUCACCACGGUGAAAUUCUACUUUUUAAACCGCCCGGAUGGAGACAUGUAGACCAAGACGGAGGCGGAUUUAAUCGCAAGGCUUGGAAUCCUGAGGUUUAUUCUGAUAUUUGUUACCCCAGGAGCCUAAAAAUUUGUUUGAAGCUGCUCAGAAGCUUUACAUGCCUAGUUUGGGACCCCGGAGGCUAUUGGCAUUCCAAGCACUGGUGGAGAUUUUUGGACGAAUUUAAACACAAGCCACCAUAACAGGAUACUCUUUCAAUGUCCAACUUAAGGACUUUAACUAAAAGUGCUAGGUGGGAGACAACCCACCAUGGUAUGGUCGCCUCUUUUUCAACUUAUUUUACUGUUAAUUGCUUUUAUUUUUCCUUUUUCAUUUUAAUUUAUUAAACCUGGAAUCAUGCAUAAGCAUUCAUGAUAGUCAUUGCAUUCUGCACUUUUCAUGUACAAAAAAAAAAGAGGCUGCACGACGCGACCGCAUGCCCCAUGCGAUCGCGUCAUAUCGCGAAAAACACCACCCAUGCGACCGCGUGACCCACGCGGCCGCGUGAUAUAUAUAUCGGCGUAAGGAUCCAACGAAUAGAAAGUUGGGCUGGAAUCGUGCGGCCCUUGUGCGUUUCGCACAAAUUAGCCCACGCGAUCGCAUGCCCCAUGCGACCACGUCACUUGCACAAUACCAAUCCCACGCGACCGCGUGAGCGACGCGAUCGCGUCGCAUGGAUUGCACAUCGCCCCAAAAGGAGACAGAGAGUUACGCUAAAACGGCGCUGGAGUCGUGCGUUUAGCACGACUUCCAGUGACGCGAUCGCACGACCCAUGCGAUCGCGUCACCCUUCUUUCCCCCUCGCAUGCGAUCGCGUACCCCACGCGAUCGCGUCACUUCCAUUCUCGCCCCAACCAUGCAACCGCGUGCCCCACGCGCCUGCGUGGAUUCGAAAAUAUAACCCCCCCAGCCCGCGAACCCUAUCAGUCGCGCAGCCCUCACCCCCAACCCUCUUCCCCUUCUCUGCCUCCUCUCCCUCCAACCACCACCCACCACCUAAACCCUUUCUCCGACACCAACCCCCUCCGCCGCCACCACCGCAUCGCCGUGCACCACCACCGCGCCGGACGCCGCCGCAGCCACCUUCUUCCCUGUUCCACCCCUUCCGCUUACCAGGUUCCGCAAAACGCAACCAAUUUUUUUUUAUUUUAUCUGUUCGUCACUUUUCUGUAUUUUUUUUAUUCCAUUUAUGUUCAUAAUUAGGAUAGUUAGACUUGCAUGUCGUAGUGGAUUUUUAGGUUGUUAGGUAGCUUAGGCUGUGGUUAGUGGAUCUAGGUCUGUUUACUUGCACUGUUCUUACUUCUGUUUUACCCUAUGUGCCAAUCUGUUGCUGCUAUAAUCAUGAUUCAUAUGCUGCUUUCUUGUAUGUUGCUGCUGUUUACAAUUGAGUUUUUAUGUUUAUUUUAUAUCUAUGUACAUGCGGCUUGAUUUUUUUUUUAAUGCAUAUGAACUGAUUAAAUUGCUGUUUAUUUUCCGGGACAAUCCAAUUUUAGCCGGAAUGCUGCCCAAAUUUUUUAAAAUUAUUUUCAUGCAUGUUUUGGUUUGGCAUUUCUGAAAUCUGUUUUACUUUGCUUUACCCAAACCUUUACAUGCAUGCUAUGGCAGACUUUCUCAUCCUUUUUGAUUUCCUGGUUCAUAAACUGCUUGUUCAAUUAUGAGUACUUCUAUUCUUACCUGUGAAUCCUUGUUACAUGGAAUUUUUUCUAUGCCACUUACCUUCCUAACUCACUGAUUUUAAUUUACUAAUUUUUUUUCAAAUCCUAACCACACUAACCCUUUUGGUCUCUUUUCUGAUUAUUUUUACUUUCCUCUAACUUUCUAACCAUGGCAUAUUGCUUAUUUUUUUUUUCCAUUUAACAUUCAUUCAAUGACAUUUCAAUUACUCAUUUUUCUUAUUCUAUUUCUCCCUUACCGCUUUGAGUCUCCUUUGUUUAAUUGCCUAUUUGCUUUCCUAUAUUUUUUUAUCCAUUCCUGAUUUUCUGUUUUUCAGGAUGUCUGCCUCACACAGGAAAGGUAAAGGCAAGGCCACUGGUAAGCGCAAGAGAGGAGAAUCCUCCCAGUCCAUCAUUUCUCUAAUGCACGAUACCUCAUGGCGGGAGAAGAACUUCACACCGCAGGAGAAAGCUAACCAGCUGCUUCCUGCAAAUGAUCCUAUAAAAUUUGCAAACCGGUACUGUGAACUGAAGUACCCGGCUUUUGCAAACUCCAAAAAUCUAUAUCUGGAACGUACCUUGAAGAAUCCAGAAGCCCUUCAGCAGUACACUACUGAGCAAAUCAAGCAAAGGGGCUGGUACUUUCUGGAGAGACCACUGACAGAGGUCAAUGCAUCUUGGGUCCGGGAAUUCUAUUGCAACUACUACCUUACUACCCUAGAUGCAGUGAACCUGAGGGAAAAGUAAAUUUUGGUCACAGAGGAAGCCAUAGAGACCAUUCUCCAACUCCCAGCCAAGUCCGAUCAGCCAGAUGGUUUUGCACAGGCUGAUGAGGACAUGGGCCAGAUGCAGUUUGACUGGGAUGCUGUGAAAGCACGGAUAGCUCUCGACCCUGCUGUUCCUUGGGAGAUGGGUCAGAACACCACUAUGCCUAGAGGGAUCAAGAGAGUGUACUUAAAUGAUGAGGCUCAACUAUGGCAUCAGAUCUUGAGUAAUUUUAUGAUGCCGAGUACUCACGAGACCGAGAUCCCGGCUACCAUGAUCACCCUCCUUUGGUGUGUGCUGGAGGGUAAGGACAUUUAUCUGACUCGUUUUAUCUGGCAUUAUAUGGCCAGGGCCCACGUCCGAGGCAACCUCCCCUUUCCUUACCUGGUUACACGGCUAGGCCGUCAGGCUGAUGUGCCUUGGGAGGAUGCCGAUGAGCGACCACCAGCAGCGGACUGCAGGAAGAUCAUCCCGCACAGCAGGAACUUCCUUGCCUUGGGCUACAGACCACCACCUGUCACUGCUACUGACGAGACAGCCCCUCCGUCUGCUGGACCCUCUUCAUCCACAGCUGCCCCAGCUGCCCCUGCUGCCAUCACUGCACCUCCACCCGCCUCUGUGCCGGUCUAUCGCCUCGUGCACCGUCUAUUCCGCCAGCUUGAUCAGAUGGAGCGCCGUAACAGGCGCCGGUAUGAGAGAUUAGAGCACCGUAGCAGGUGACGCUAUUCCCAUCUGAAGCUGAUGAUCAGAUAGGGCGCCGACAUCUCCUCCGAGCCCGACACCCCUUCAGAGCCAUCAGAGGAUGAGCACGAGGAGGAGGAUGAGCAUGAGGAGGAGCCUCAUUUCCAGACGGAGACUCAUCAGCAAGCAGCCACAGAGCAGGCUGCCCCGCAUCAGGAGGUUAUGCCCCAGAUAGAGGCUACAGAUCCGGAGAUCCCGCUCCAGUCCGUCCCACCUCCACAGCAGCCAGACCCUCAGCCCACCACCGCCACGGAGACCCCAGCUACCAUCCCUACCAUUGAUGACACUCCUUCACACUAGGCUUGAUUGAGCAUCGAGGACAAUGCUUCAUUUUAAGUGUGGGGAGGUCGCCAUCUCUGGCGUUUAUUUUGGUGAACUACUACAUACUUUUUCUUUUAUUUUGGAUAUUUUUCUGUAUUUUUCUCUUUUUCUUUUAUUGUUAUUUUCUUAGUACUUAUACAUUGCUACUUGUGUAUUUUACUCUAUGUGCUGCAUUUUGCAUCUUUAGUUCAUACUUUAGCCAUUUAGUUUAUUUUAGUUAUUUAGUUUAGUUUGCAAUUCUGAUUUAUUAGUGGAUUAAUUAGUAUAGUUUACUCUUUUUGGCAUAAGAUAGUAUAGUUUAAAUAGAAAAAUAUAAAAAGGAAGUAAACUAGAAACUUUAAACAGAAUCAAAACACCCACACCUUAUAUAUAUAGCAUUACAUGUUAGUUGACAACAUUUCAUCAAGGAGGAACAUUAGAACUUUAAAAGCUACCCUAAAUAAUUUUUUCAAGAGAAUAAUGGGAAUUUUUAACUAAACCUGCAUACAAUAUAUGAAUGAUAUAUGAUGCUUGAGUUAGAGAACACACAGCCUGUGAGUCUUGAGCUUAAAGUGUAUGGUUGCAUUCAGACCAUAAUUUUAUUUCUGUGUGUCACAUUUCUUUUUAUUCUGAUGUUCUUUACUUUGCUUUAAUCUAUAUGUCUAAUUAUAGAAUAUAGAAUAGAUACAUACCAAGAGAAUGAUUGAGGCCAUCAUUUGAUUUUAGCUCACUCACCCCAAAUCAGCCUACCUUUUACAUCACCCUUGUUAGCCCCCUUGAGCCUUUUAAAACCCCUUUAUUCUAUUUAGCCAAAUAACUAGCCUUAAGCAGAAAAACAAAGAAAAAUCCCAAGUGAAUCCUUAGUUAGCUUAAGAUAGAAAAUUAGGAAUAGAGUUAAAUGUGGGAAACCUUUUGGGAACAUGGAUGAUAGAAACAAAAGGUAGAGAAGUUAAAAGGAAUGAAAUAAAAUUUGGAAAGCAUGCUCAUGAGAAAAUCUAAAUGAUUUAAUUAUCAUGUGCAUUAAAAUAUAUAUAUAUAUAUAUUUUAUUUCUUAAAGGGGAUACAAAAGAAAUUCCCCAAUACAAAAUAAAAAUAAUGCACAUGGAAUAAAAAUAAAAAUUAAACAUGAGCAUGUAACAAUAAGUGGAGAAUUAUGGAAAUUAGGUAAAGAAAUUUUAUUUUACUAAAUAUGUAUGUUAGGUGAGAUCUUAGUCUAAUUAAGGAUUCACUUAUUAGCUCACUUAACCAUAUACAUAAACCCUUACCUUUACCUUGGCCCCAUUACAACCUUAAUUAAGACCUCAUGACUUUUUGGUAUGACUAUAUUCUAUAAUUGUUGAUUGGUUAGAUGAAAAACAAAGCUGUAGAAAUUAAGAAUAAAAAGAAAAAUAGAGUGGAUAAACCCAAUAAACACUGAGUGACUAGAGAGUAAACACAAAAUCCAGCGAGGGUUCAAUAACUCAUCAACAUAUAUCCGUGCUCAAAAUUUACUAAUUGUUUUGCAAGUUGUACAAUGUUUUCUUUCCCAUCUCAUUUGCUAAAGUGCUUUAUUAUUUAAGGGUUGGCUAUAUAUAUAUAUAUAUCCAUAACUCCUUGAGAAUGUGAAUUAACUUAGCUACAUGUAAGCUUUAUAUAUGAGUGGAUGAAUUAGGAAUUGCAUGACUCAUUAGGUAGAUACAUUUAGCAUAGGUUGCAUUUCAUAACAUUCCAUCACUUUAACCUUAAUUAUUUGCCUUGGAUUUAGCAUGAGGCAUGCUAGUGUUUAAGUGUGGGGAGGUUGAUAAACCCAUAUUUCAUGAGUUCUUUUAUGCUUAAUUAGAGUGAUUUAUUCAACUCUUCACCUACUUAUUCACAUUAAUUGCAUAGUUUUACUUUCCCUUCCUUAUUAUGUCAUAUAAUGAAAAACAUGUUUUCUAAGCUUUAAAAAUUAAUUAUUUUAAUUACCUUUAUUUCCAUUCGAUGCCAUGUUUAGUGUGUUGAGUAGUUUCAGAUUUUCUAAGGCAGAAUGACUUAAGGGAUGAAAAAGGAAACAUACUAGAAUGGAAGGAGGAAGCAAAACGGAGCUUUAAAGAAACUGGUAUCCACGCGAUCGCAUGGAUGACGCGAUCGCGUGCCAAGCACGAAUCAGCAGCGACGCGGCCGCAUGACUGACGCGACCGCGUGGCAAGGAAAAGCUCCAAAUGAUGCGACCGCGUGACCCACGCGGACGCGUGACAGAGGCCACGCACCAGAAAUUGCAGAAAACGCUCGUGACGAGUUCCGAGGCCCUUUUUGGCCCAAAUCCAAGUCCAGAAGGCAUAGACUAGAGGUUAUGAAGUGGGGGAAUGCAUCCAUUCAGAGAGAGCUCGCAUAUUUUCACUUUUCAAUGAUUUAGAUUUAGUUGAGAGGGAGAUCUUCUCUCUCUCUCUCUCUUAGGAUUUAGGAUUUCUUCUUGUUUUGGGAGUAACUCUGGAUCCAGGUUUAAUUGUUCUUUUAUUUUAAUUCUACAAUUAUUUAUUCCAACAUUUGAAUUGAUUAUUAUAAUUUAUGAAUUAUUCCAUGUUACAGAUUCCUAUUUGAAUUAAUGAUAAUUUGAGGUAUUUUCAGUUUAUGAUUGUUCUCUUUGAUUUAAGUUGCCAUUGCUUCCCAUCUAAGGACACUUUUAUUAUUUCAGCAAUUUAAUUUUUCCCCUUUUGGUUUCGGUUAAGAAUUUAGUAACUCAACAGUUAUCAAACUCAACGUAAUUGAUAAUCGUUAUCUUGCUAAUUAAGUUGAACUUGAAUAAUCCCAACCUUUUCUUAGGAAAUAAUUAGGAUUCAAAGGUCAAUUUAAUUAGUCCCUUAACUUUCCUUUGCUCUGGUAAAGGUUGACCAAGUGGAAUUAAGAUACAACUUUCAUUAUAGUUGAGAAGGAUAACUAAGUUGGACUUCAAAUUUCCCUUAUCUUGCCAAAAGUUGUUUUACAGUUAUUAUUUAUUUUUAAUUGACAUUUAAUUCACUCGUCACUUAAAUUACUUGCUUCUCACCUUCUAAACCCCGAUUACAACCUUUAUAACCAAUAAUAAGAACAUACUUCCUCGCAGUUCCUUGAGAAGACGACCCGAGGUUUGAAUACUCGGUUAACAAUUUUUAAGGGGUUUGUUACUUGUGACAACCAAAACGUUUGUAAGAAAGGUUGAUUGCUUGGUUUAGUAACUAUACUUACAACGAGAGUUUUUAUAACCUCUAAACCAUCAAUCCACAGUUCUUCAGUAUUACGACAUCAAAAAUAAAAAUAUAGUACGUAUAGUAGUAUGAAUGAUUGAUUAUAACUAGGAGCCUUUGUAUAAAAAGGGGUAAACAAAAAUCGCAACUCGACAGCGCAACACUCCGAUCGAUAACGUAACGAACAAGGAUAACCAAUGCGAGAUUAUAUAUAUACAAAGGAGUGUCAAAAACAGGAAUAUAAAGACUCAAAAUCCGGCUGCGAAGAUAACCAGUUUGAGCAUAACAAUAUAUACAUAUGAUAAAAUAAGGAAAAACUCCAAAGGAAAUCCAAAGGGACACAAAUACAUAAAACCUAUUCUCCAAAAUCUCCCAUAAGAUGAGUCAUCACAGUUUGUAUUAUUUAAAGGAGAUAAAAGUAUCUAAGCAAAACAUAUAAACCAAAAUAUAGUCCCGAGAACAAAGGAUCUUCGCAAAUCUAGAAGUCUCCAGCAUGCCUCAGCGGGAAACCUCACGUCCUGCAUCUGAAAACCACAAAAUCCGCAUGGGUGAGAACCAGAGGUCCCCAGCAUGGUAACAGCUUCCACAUAUAUAAUACAUAAUAAUAGAGGAAAGCCGAAGGCAAUCCUAGAACUUCCUCCAGAUAAAAAUCAAAGCUUAUAAACAAGCUAAACCAUAAAAGGGCAUCUGACUAAAGAUUCUUCAGUCUAACUUAUACUUCCCUUUCCAAUUCCUUCAAAUCUCCCAACCACCAGCAGGAGUAUAAUGUAGCAAACACAGUUAUAUCAAAUAGGAAAUAUACAAAUAGGAAUAAUUAAGGCAUUUAGACAAUUACCAAAUAAUAUACAGCCAAUUAGGCAAUCUCAAACAAUUCAUAUAGUAUGCAUAUGAUGAAUGCCUGUCCCUAGUGGCUGAUGAUAUCAUCUGUCGGUUAUAGAGCCAACCCGAGAAGUCCCGGUAGCUAACCAUUGGACUGUCCCUCUGUCACGCAUCCCCAACUCGAGUUAUACUCAUCAUAAACUUGAUCAUAAUCAUGAUCCAUAUCCAUCACCUUCACUGGUGAAUAUUUACGGGGGCGAGCUCAUUCGGGUCUUUCACAGUGCCCGGCCACACUUAUGACAUAGGGUCAAAAGAGCUUCGAGUCUCAACCUGGAGCACGGGGUAGCUAGCUACUGCUUCCUCCCAGGGAAACUCUCAUCUCCAACAGUGGAAGUGCAACAUUCACAAUUCAUUCAACAGCAUAUAUGCAUUUAUACAUAGCCAUAAUCAUGGCUCCGCCGUAACACGGCAAUAAUCUAGCCAUCCGGCUCAUGGUUAAAUCCAUAACCAGCCAAUUCAUUAACAAUUACGGCCCUUCGGCCCAUGGCAUAACAAGCACUUCCACCACCAUCCUCCGCCUCUCACAUAAUCAUCUUUGAUCCUCAUUGAUCAUUCAUUUUUCCCUUGCUUCACUCGCAAGUUACCACAUUCACUAGCCCUUCUUCUCAUAGCUAGACAUGUCAUAAUGAUUUAAGACAUAAGUGGUGAGAUCGGAGGCUUAGAAGUAUGAAAUUUGACUUUUAAAACUCAAAAAUCAACUUUGGGAUGAAAACAGGGCCACGCGUACGCGCACUCCACGCGCACGUGUGGAUGGCCUCGAAAACUCAUCGACGCGUAUGCAUCAUACACGCUAACGCGUGGAUUGAAAAUUAGCCAAGCGACGCGCACGUGUCGCCCAAGCGUACGCGUGGGUGCUCUCGUGCCCUAGGCACAAAACUAGCACAGUUCUGGCACAACUCUCUGGCAAAUUGGCUGGGCAUUGGGUGCAGCACAUCGGCGCGCCCGCACACACCACGUGCACGCGUGGAUGGCAUUUUCCGGAAGAACGGCACGUACACGCCAAGUGCGCCUACGUGCAAGGGGUCAUUCUGCUAAAAAUUUUUCUAAGUUAAAAGCUGCAGAAUUCACAAAUUUAAACCCCAAUCUUCCAACGGACAUAACUUUCUCAUUUUAAAUCGUUUUUCACCCGUUCUUCGAACGGCAUGGACAUCCCGGAUCCAAUUUCAUUUCUAAACAGAUUUGGCACAAAACAAAGAUCCGUAGUCCAAGUUAUGUCCCGUCAAAGUAUGCCCAAAAACUAUAUUUUCAUACAAAACCACAACAUGCCAUUUUCAAAACAAGUCAUUUUCAACUCUUAUCAAAAUCAAUCAAAACAUGCCAAUUUCAUCCCUUUUCUUUGAAAUCAAUCAAAAUAUAUCAAAUUCAACAUCAAGCCUCCACAUAUUGACAUAUCAUAUACUCUUCCUCAUGCCAAUUCUCAACAACACCAAUUCCAAUAAAUCAUCAUUGUACACAAUUAAUAUCAUACUCACCAUCAACAUGGUUCAACCCAUAAUUCAACCAUAACCAAUCAUCAAGCAUAUAUCACAACAUGUAUAUUUCUCAUACAUCAUACCAUCAAGGCAUCAUUAAUCAUCAUCACAUAUAUGACCACAUCAUAUAUUUCAACCAUUCAACAACAUCAACAAUUCAAUGCCUAUCUUAGGGCCUCUAGCCUAAGUAUUUCCUACCACAUUACAUAUUAGAUACGGAAAACCGAGACCAUACCUUAGCCGAUUUCCCAAACUCAACCGGAGCACUUCCAAACCACUUUUUCCUCAAGCUCUCAAGGUCUCAACACCUUCAAGAAUAGAUUUUUCACCACCAAAUCCCUUUUUAAGCUUUCCAAAAUCACCAAUCAAGCUCCAAUAUUCACACAUACACAACCUAAGCCACAAUCAUCAUACCCAUACACAACAUCUCAAAACCCAAACAUCAUAGAACAACAAAAUUAUACUAGGGCUGAGAAUCUUACCACACCCAAGGUCCAAGGAGAUACGAUUAACCUUCUCCUUCAAGAGAGUUGGGUCCUAUAACAUCAAAGAGCCCAAAAUCUCAACAUUUUUGCUCAUGAAACUCGAAAACAAGGCUGGAAAUUCGAAGAGUAAAACGUGGCUUACCUCAAUAUUAAUUGUAUGGGUUUUGUAGAGCUCUUCACGGUGAACGCGUGGCCGCAAACGGGGCGCCAAUCGGAGCUCUAGAUCAAAAGUUAUGGUGGUUUGAAGAUCAAGUGAGAGAUAGAAGUUGAGAGAGUGUUCUUCCCCCUUCCAUCUCAAUUUUCAGCGUGUUUUGGUGUUGUGUGAGGAGAGAGAGUGCUAAAAACUAGGGUUUUGGUUUAGUUAUGUUGGGCCAAGGGCCCACUUUGGGUCCGAUUGGCCCGGUUUGGCCCGUUCGGUCCAAUCUUGGUCCGAAUUCUAUAAAAUUGGUACCGAAAUUCUCGUCUCAAUCUCCUUUAUCAUAUUUAGCCAUAAAAACCACAUUUUGGGCUUUCUAGAAUAAAUUCUCAUUUAUAGGUUAAUUCGCCGUUAAUUAACCGGAUUUUAUAAAACACGUAUACAUAUAGAAGUAGCUCCAGUCAGACCUUUUCUCACAAACCCUGUCAUUCUCACUACAUGGCAGAAACCUAACCUCAAAAUCAUGCCCACGCCUUACCCAAUUAGCCUCAUUCAGUUGUUUCACAAGCUCAUCAUUACAAAAUAUAGAUACGCAACCCCUAACAUCACUAUCAACCCAGCUAUAGACAUCACUCUCAUCAAUAGCAACAGUACCUUUUUUUCCCCAUUUUAACAAAGAAACGAAAGAAAACCAACAGACAAUAACAAUUUACUAACCUUUUUUUAGUCAUGAUGCGUUCCAAGAACAAUGUAAUGAACUCCAACGCGAACACAGUAGCCAGUUGAAGAGACAACCCCAACUCCCAAGAUACCCACUACCCCACGUUUCCUAAAACCACUAAAGGAAGCGGGAACGAACAUCACACUUCGCAUAAAAGCCCAACACAUAAUAGCCCAAAAAAAAGUUGAACUUGGGGGCUCCGUUACGGUCAACAAAGCUUCAAAAGCCAAAAACAUAAAAAGCUCAACUUGUUUUUUCACAGGACAAGCUUGGGGGCUGUGAUCCAUACCAAAAUACUCGGCUUCCAGAAGCUUUGACCGAGCUUAACCACAAAUAGAAAACGUCGGAUUCGAAUUCUCCAAACUAACCGAUAAUAGCUGAAUCUUCCAAACUUACCGAGAUAUAAGGGCACAACAGAAAAUAUCCAUAACAGCCCUACUAUCAAGGUCGGCAUAACGGUGGAAUCACUAAGCUUUCCCAUCUAUAUAAGUCACCUCCUAACCCCACUAGGGGACACGAUUCUGAUCCAAUCUCAUCUGAGCACUGAAGAAUAAAGCACUUCAGCACACAUAAGACACCUAUUUUAUUUUCUUUUAAAGUAUUUUUCGUUAUCUUAGAAUAUUACUGACUUGGGCGUCGGAGUCCCUUUUGCAGGUUCCACGCCGACCUCAUCCCGGUUCCAAGGAGGACGUUCCGAGUAAUAGAAGGACCUCUCAAUCUGACCGUAGCUGAGUUAUAAGUCGGAAGCCACACUCCAGAGCGGAACAGUUUCAAUUCACAAAUGUCAUCACUCUUCAAUCCUCUCAUCUCAUACUUGAAUCUCUUCAUCAUGUCUCUUUUAUUUUUGAGUUUGCAUAAAUUUUAUUUAUGUUUUUUUAAUUUACUUUUUAAUUUGAUAUUAUAUCAUAAAAUUACUUAAUUUAAAUAUUUAAAUAAUGAUAGUAUAUACUAAUUCUGAAAUGGCAAUUUUUAAUAUAAAAAUCUUAUAAAACCAUUUUUAAUAAGGUUUCGGAUGCGAUUCUUCUAAAAUUUUAUAUAAAUAGACUAAUUAUUUAUAUAUGAUUUUUUACUUUCUUGAAAAUAGAUUCUAAGAUCAAAUUACAUAAUACAACAUUAUCAUCAUUGUUAUCGUUAUCACCACUAAUCGAAUAUUUAUUGUUUUAAUUUUAUUAUUUUAUUUAUUUUGAUUUUGUAAUUACUUUAUUUAUUUUGAUUUUGUAUCUAAUAUUUUAAAUAUAUUUUCGUUAUACUGUUAUUUGGGACUAAUAUAAAGCAUACAAUUCGUUAAUGGAAAUAACUAACGCAUCAAUUUUAAGUUGGUAUGUCAUUGACACAUAACAAUAUAUACUAGUAAUGUUAAGUCCAACCAUGUUAGAAACUAAGGAAAAAUAACUUAAAGUCCAAUUAUAAAAUUAAAAACAAUACUAAAAUUAAAAGUGAAAAUAUAAACACUGAACAAAAAAUAGUUUUUCAUUUAUUGAUAUUCUCUCCUUUUAUGAAAGAGCGUAAUUUAUUAAAUAAAAAAAAAUCUUAAGUUGAAUCAUGUGAUCAGAAAAAACUAAUAAUCAAAAUUAAUCGCUCUCUUAUCUUAAUUGUCUAUUUUUACACUUGUGUAGUUAUAAAUUGAAUAAUAUGAAUAGUUUUGUGUAAUUAUAUACCUCAUGUAUAUCUACUAUUAAAACCAGAAAAUUAUACUGUAUAUUUAAAAUGCAUUAAAAAAUUAACCAUAUAUUUUCGAAAAACAAAAUCAAUAAUUCAAAAGUUAAUGAAAUACCCUAAAAAAUAGCAAACUAAAAAAAAAUGCUAACUCUUUUAGAGAAAUUGUAACAUCCUAACUAUCAAAAUGUCACGCUUCCGGCUGUGCCACUCUGAUAGCUCAGGUAUUACGACGACUUUUAAAAUAUUUAAUACUAAAAUAUAAGCUUGUUUAAAAGUUUAAACCGUAUAACCGCUCAAGAGACUUCUUAUCUGACAACAUAUAACCACAUUUACAAAACAAACCACAAUACUUACAAAAGAUACAUAUACAUAUAUCUACAUAUUAUCAAUAUUACAAGCAUUGCAUAAUCAAAAUUCUAUCCCUCUUGUGAAGACUUGCAAAAUUAAAGGCGAGGGAAACAUAAAACUAAGAUAAUACAAAAUAAUAUCGAAUAAACAGAAAAUAAAUAUAACUCUCGUGAAACUCCAUCGCCCAUAUCCUGAAAAGGGAAAAAACUGUAGGGGAGUGAGAACAUCGUUCUCGAAAGGGUUCUCACUAUAGGGUUACAGAAUUGCUAUAAUAAGAUACAAAAAUAAAACCAUUUUUAAUGUAUAGUGAUUAAUAACCGCCUUAUGCUUCUUUUCAAAACCAAAGAUUUAAUAUUCAAAAUCCGAAAUCCUUUCUAAAAGGGAAAGCUGUUAAUUUGCUCAGAAAUCCAAAAGCUCUUUUUUUUUAAGUUUUUUCCUAGAAAGCAUGAAUGACCAAACUGUUCCAAGCAUAGGUUCAUUAAGUCUAUGCUGAACCAGUUUGGUUUUUCAUACUUUUCUAAACCGAAAACACAACCAAACACAACAUUCAGCCCAUCUCAUAAUCAACCACGGCCCUAGGCUCAAGCAGCUCAAUCAAAAACCAAUUCAUCACAAUCCAACCAAUUCUCAGCCACAAACACAAGUAAGAAGGUUCAAACACAAUCAAGCAGUUAUAUCAAGUAGAGCAAUUAGCAAUUAACAUAACUAUUCACAUAGGCAAACCAAUUAUAAUAUGCCCACCCAAACAAUGUCAUAUAAAUGCAUAUGUUGCAUGCCUGUCCUACUGGCCAUGAGCUCACGCGUCGGUUAUGUUGCCAGACCCGACUCGGAUAAGCGGGAUUCAACCACCAUCCUUAUCCGUAGGUUCCACAAGCAAGCGGGACUAAACCACCAUCCUUGCCCGGAACACGCAAGCGGGAUUUAAACCACCGUCCUUGCCAAAUAAUUUAUCAAUAUGUGAGCGGGACAAAACCACCAUCCUCACUGCAGGCGGGACAAAACCACCAUCCCUGCAUAACGGUUUACGCACUGAGCAAGCGGGACUAUACCACCAUCCUUGCCA